rnacentral:lncRNA from 1 species
AAACAUCAGAAGUUAAACGGCACAAACAGCCUGGACGUCGUACAACACACAUCAGUAAUUAAACUGGAAAUCCCCUAAAAAAGUAAUUAAACUGGAAAGCAGUAAUUAAACUGGAAAGGGUACAAAGACAGCGAAAAUCGACUAUGCUGCGCAUCAGCUUCAACUUGUUAUAAGCAGAAAUAGACAUCAUACAACACAACUAGGCAACAGAGAUCAUAACACGACUAAUUAAGAUGCAUCUAAUAGCACAACUAAGUAACACUAGCCAUGAGCCAAGACGACAUGUAUCGUCGUCUAUGUCGGAACGUCAAUAUUUAGGACGCAUCGACCGCUAUUCUAAUAAAGUUUAGAGACGGCCUAGGAUGCGUUCCGCUUCUUCGCCUUCCUCGUCGCUGUCGUGGUGGAUGACGUCGUACUGGUCGUCGGGGAGGUUGGCCCUUGGGUCGUCGUCGUGGAAGACGUCGACCUGGACGUAGGCGUUCCCGUCGCGCUUGAAGUCGGCGAGGACCCUCUCAUGGUGGGCUCGCUCGGCCUUGAUGGCGACCAUGGAGCGGAGAGUCUCGGGGAGGUUGGGCAGGGGAGGGCGAGGCUUCUUGUCCCACUCGAGCAGCCACUUGAUGUAGCUGUUCCGAUGGUCCAUCUUCACCAUCCUCUUCUCCUUGAUCCGAUACCCCUCAUACGGGUUGAGCCUCAACCUCUCGGGGGAUGCAGCACCACCAGCAGGCGCCGCCUCCUUCUCCAUCGGGAUCGAAGCCUCCUCCAACGAGUUCGUCGAUUGCGUCGUAACCCUAAGUCGCAAGAUCCCCUUCUCGAUCUCGAUCGAUUUCGUCGUAACCCUAAGUCGCUCGAUCCCCUUCACGAUCUCGAUCUGGCUGAGUGGGUUGCGGCGGUGGGGUGGGUGGAGAGGGGGGAGGGAGGGCAUAGAUAUAGUUGCUCAAGCCCUAGCUCCUGUCGGAAACGGACUGAGACGGCCCAAAGGAAAUCGUCCCAUGGGCUUCUACCAAUGCCCCCACCAAUUUUUUCAUUGAAUUAUAUAUAAUCUUUUUUUUUUUUGCGGAACUAUACACUGAUGAAGUAAAGAUGAAACCUUAUUGAAAAUUUCCUGGAUCAAGUUGAAGUUUAGCGCAGCGUGCCGUGUUACCUGGCUUCGUCGUGGUGAUCGUAACAUGAAGUAUUUUAACCAGUUUGCCUCUGCUAGGCGUCGGAGAAAUUUGAUCAAAAAAUUGAGAAAUAGUAAUAAUGGGUGGGUUGAGGGUAAUGAUAACCUCAAUCCAUUAAUUUGUGAUUAUUUUGGUAACCUCUUUUAAGUCUGAUUCAGCCGAGAUCAACUAGGAGCUCAUGCAUGCGGUCAAGCCACAUGUAUCGAGCAAUAUGAAUAGGCUUCUUAUUGCGCCAUACUAGGUGCGCAAGGCUCUAUUUACGAUCCUUGUAUCCGACGCGCUACUUGUAUCCGAAUUGGUGCACACACCCCCAGCAUACACAGGUUUCCUCGGUGGGCCGGCCAAUCAGGAAAGCGCUUUUAUACAUCAGUUUGGUUUCUUUCUACAUGUUUCAUGUGGGUUUUAAACCAUUUUUGUUUGAUUUUAUUUUUAUUUUCUUCUUCUUUUUUGCUCAUUUUUUAAACCUGUCCAAACUCAUGACCUUUUUCCCAUUUCAUGAACUUCUUCAAACCCUUGAACUUUAUGAAAUUUCGCCAGCUUUUGAAAUGCAUGAACCUUUUUUCCAAAUUCUUGGAAAAAAAUCAUCUUCCUGAACUUUUUUUCCUAGUCAUGUACCUUUUACAAAUGCGUGAUUUUUUUAAAAAAUUUGCAAACCUUUGUUCAAAUGUGUGAUUUUUAUCAAACUCAAUAUUAUUUCUAAAUUAGCAAAAAAAAUUAAAAAACUGAGCAUUUUCGCAAAUCCAUUACGUUUUUGCAAAAUCAUGAGCUCCAUUAUUUUCUUUUGCGGGGUUCCAUUCAAAAUAUGUGAACUUUUUCAAAAUUGGGUAAUUUCUUUAAAUUCAUUACAAAAAUUAAAUACAUGAACAUUUUGGAGUUCGUGAACAUUUUUUAACUUCAUGCAAAAAAAAGCAAUUACGCGCACAAUGUUUUUCGCCUUCGUAAAAAAAAAAUCAAAAUCUGCGAUUUGAAAGAAAAAAAAUCAGCCGGUGGUUGGGCCAUGGGUCAUCGGUCAACCCUUCUCUUGAGAAGUAGGGGGCACCGAGCGAUCGUGCACGUUAGCCGUGUUGUUGGGCCAGCCGACGCCAACGAGCGCUUGAGCGUCGGUUCGCUUCCACGAUGCUUAGAGCACUAAUUAGGAGGCAACUCCUAUUUGCCGCCCGCAGACGACAAACUAUCGAGGAAACGCCUGCAGUAGAGCCAGAUUAGCCGGCCCACUAUGGGGUUCGCGUGAUUGUUUCGUGGGAGCUCUUGUUCGGCGCCUUAAGCGCCCGAACAGGUAGCUGCCGCCCGUGCGCCCUGCCACAUGGGCCGGCCCAGAAGACCUGCAGAAAAGAAAACGCAAACCGCGAGAAAAAAAUUACCAAAAAAUCAGGAGAACUGUGAAUCAAACUCUGAACGCGAAUGCAAAUGCCCACCGUCGUUAACCACUAGGACAUUCUCAGUUUGUUGAGUACUAAUGGAAACAGACCUUAUUUAACCAUUCCUCAAGUACAAAAAAUAAACAUAUACUGGUAUUAUAUACUAACUAUAAUUAUAUUUGAAUAAAGAAAGCAUAAAGUUGAAAAAGCAUUCGCAAAAACACGAAUUGAAAUAAAUAAGCAAAUUUCAAAAAGGUUUGUACCAAAUUGGAAAAAAUGCAAAAACGAAAAAUUUCAUGAAUUUUAAAAGGAGUUAUCGAAUUUGAAAAAAUUUCACCAAUUUAUAUAAAAAACCCAAAAUUUCAAAGCACCUGAUCGAAUUAAGAAAAGUUCAUCGAAUUCAAAAAAGUUCAUCGGUUCUGAAAAAAGUUCAGCGAUUUUGAAAAAAAAAGUUCAUCGAUUUUGAAAAGUUUCAUCAAUAAUGAAAGAAAGCACAUCAAUUUUGAAAAAUGUUCACCGAUUUUAGGACAAAAAAUCAUGAAUUCUUAAAUUAGUUCAUCGAUUUUGAAAAAAAGUUCAUCAACAUUGAAAAACGUUCAUUGAAUUUGGAAAACCCUUCAUCAAUUUCGAAAGAAAGUUUAUCGAUUCUAGAAAAAAUUCAUCGAGUUUGUAAAAAUGUUCAUCGAUUUCGAAAAAACAUUCAUCGAUCUUGAAGAAAUGUUCAUUGAUUCUAAAAAAAUAAAUCACGAAUGUGAAUAAAAAGUUCACGCAUUUUGCAAAAAGAAAAAUAAUGAGAAAAAAAAGCCGAACAAAACAGUUCCCAGAAAAAGGAAAAAACGAAAAAGAAAAAGAAUAAAGUUCCGCGAACUGUGGAGGAUAAAUGAGGGAAGACGAUGUGACUGUAAACGACCAAUGGAGGUAGCCUAGUGGUUGCUACGCGUUGCUUUGAAUAAAAGGUCUCUAGUUCGAAUCUUUAUGGUCGCAGCUUUUUUGGAAUUUUAACAGGAAAGGAAGAAAUAGUUAAAUGGGCCGGCCCAGUUGCGGGAGGGAGGGUUUGCUGCAGGCGCCCGUUAUUCGUCGCUGCUCUUUCUUUCGUUGGAUUUUUUUCUUCUUCCACGUUUUGGGUUUUCUUCGGUUUUUUACUGGUUUUGUUCCCUUCAUUCGUUUUCCCUUUUUGGCUCCUUUCUAGGUUUUCUUCCGGUUUUCCUUUUUUACUGUUAAAUGGGCCGGCCCAGUUGCGGGAGGGAGGGUUUGCUGCAGGCGCCCGUUAUUCGUCGCUGCUCUUUCUUUCGUUGGAUUUUUUUCUUCUUCCACGUUUUGGGUUUUCUUCGGUUUUUUACUGGUUUUGUUCCCUUCAUUCGUUUUCCCUUUUUGGCUCCUUUCUAGGUUUUCUUCCGGUUUUCCUUUUUUACUGUUAAAUGGGCCGGCCCAGUUGCGGGAGGGAGGGUUUGCUGCAGGCGCCCGUUAUUCGUCGCUGCUCUUUCUUUCGUUGGAUUUUUUUCUUCUUCCACGUUUUGGGUUUUCUUCGGUUUUUUACUGGUUUUGUUCCCUUCAUUUGUUUUCCCUUUUUGGCUCCUUUCUAGGUUUUCUUCCGGUUUUCCUUUUUUACUGUUUAUAUUUUUUGUGUAUAAACACAAAUGUUAACCACACUUUACAAAAAUGAUCAUCGUGUAUUAAGAAAAUGGUAGGUGUAUUUAAAAAAUAUUAUUGAUUAUUUUUUAACAGUCAGCAUAUGCCACAAAAAUGUUCAAUACGUAUUUAAAUACUGUUCAGCAUAUAAUACAAAAAAUGUUCAAUGUAGCUACCCCGACUGGCGUAUAUCCAUCUUAAGGUCUGGAGUUCGACCCCCAAUCAUGCGGGUUUUUUUUUUUGAGAAUUUGUGGUUUUAUUUUUUCUUGACCUUUGUACAUUCGCUCGACGCUUGCGAAUGGGCCGGCUCAUUUGCGAGCAAGCUUAAGUGAAAGCUCGACUAUUGGACACACGCACCCCUAAAAAGACCAUUGGACGCACGAGGCCGUCCAAUAAGAGCUCUCCUAAUUAACGGGUGUCUGGCUUUCUAUGUGGAUACUAUUUGCUGCCCGCGCGUGUUAAAUAAACGGGGUGAUGUCUGACAGUAAUCUGGCGGGCCGACCCAGUUCGUUCGCCGCAUGGUUAUUCGUUCCGUUUGUAUUGCUUUCUUAUUUGUAUGUUUACCCGGUUUAUACAUGGAGAAUCUUUCUAUAUAUCGUGAACCUUUUUAAAAUGUAUGGUGAAGUUUUGUAAUAUACGGUGCACAUUUUCUUAUACAAACUGCUUUUUUAAGGUAUGGUGAACUAUUUUUUAAUAUAUACUGAACAUUUUUUAAUACACAUGAAACUUUUUUAAAACACACACCAAAUGAUUUUUUUAAGGAACUAAAAGGUAAAUAACCAAAGAGAAAAGGGAAAAUCUAAGUUAAGGCGUGCGCAGCUUGUCCUUCCCGUGCGGCGGCGCGCUGCGAUUCGCACAAGCUUGAUCCCCGCGGUUGAGACAAAAAGCAGCGAAUUUUUUUUUGCGAGAGAAAAUGUUUUUUUCUUUGUUAUCCUGCAUGCAUAGCCGACUACAGUGAAAUCAUUUUUCCUCUGCACUUGUCAUAUUGCACAGCCGGGACAAGCAGUUGUGCAAGAAACAUCCGCCUACUCCCUAAAAAAUAAGGGUUCAUUUGCCUCACAUCGGUCCGCCUCGUCUCCAUUGGCCUUAGGGACAUGGAGCGCGGUCGAUCCCGGCCCUUGCCGGUGGGAGGGCUCCAUUUUUAGAUGUGUCUUCGAGAUUUAUUAGGGUUUGUGUCCUACUUCAGGAAGGCAAGACGACGACGGCUCCCUGAAUAUGGAAUAAAAUUAUCCCGGCCUAGCCCCAGUUCUGAUGGUGCAUCUAACAUUGUCGGUGGGCCUGCCCUAUGCCAGCCCUCUCUCUCUCUCCACUAAGGCCAAUAAGCCCAUUAAUUCUCCGAGGGGGGUGUCCGGUAACCGUCCGGCACUCCGGUUUUCUCCAAAAUCACCCGGAACACUUCUGGUGUCCGAAUAUAGUCGUCCAAUAUAUCAAUCUUUAUGUCUCGACCAUUUCGAGACUCCUCGUCAUGUCCGUGAUCACAUCCGGGACUCCGAACAACCUUCGGUGCAUCAAAACAUAUAAACUCAUAAUAUAACUGUCAUCGAAACGUUAAGCGUACCGACCCUACGGGUUCAAGAACUAUGUAGACAUGACCGAGACACGUCUCCAGUCAAUAACCAAUAGCGGAACCUGGAUGCUCAUAUUGGCUCCCACAUAUUCUACGAAGAUCUUUAUCGGUCAGACCGCAUAACAACAUACGUUUUUCCCUUUGUCAUCGGUAUGUUACUUGCCCGGGAUUCGAUCGUCGGUAUCUCAAUACCUAGUUCAAUCUCGUUACUGGCAAGUCUCUUUACUCGUUCCGUAAUACAUCAUCCCACAACUAACUCAUUAGUUGCAAUGCUUGCAAGGCUUAAGUGAUGUGCAUUACCGAGAGGGCCCAGAGAUACCUCUCCGACAAUCGGAGUGACAAAUCCUAAUCUCGAAAUACGCCAACCCAACAAGUACCUUCGGAGACACCUGUAGAGAACCUUUAUAAUCACCCAGUUAUGUUGUGACGUUUGGUAGCACACAAAGUGUUCCUCCGGUAAACGGGAGUUGCAUAAUCUCAUAGUCAUAGGAACAUGUAUAAGUCAUGAAGAAAGCAAUAGCAACAUACUAAACGAUCGGGUGCUAAGCUAACGGAAUGGGUCAAGUCAAUCACAUCAUUCUCCUAAUGAUAUGAUCCCGUUAAUCAAAUGACAACUCAUGUCUAUGGUUAGGAAACAUAACCAUCUUCGAUUAACGAGCUAGUCAAGUAGAGGCAUACUAGUGACACUUUGUUUGUCUAUGUAUUCACACAUGUAUUAUGUUUCCGGUUAAUACAAUUCUAGCAUGAAUAAUAAGCAUUUAUCAUGAUAUAAGGAAAUAAAUAAUAACUUUAUUAUUGCCUCUAGGGCAUAUUUCGUUCAGUCUCCCACUUGCACUAGAGUCAAUAAUCUAGAUUACACUAUAAUGAUUCUGACACCCAUGGAGCCUUGGUGUUGAUCAUGUUUUGCUCGUGGAAGAGGCUUAGUCAACGGGUCUGCAACAUUCAGAUCCGUAUGUAUCUUGCAAAUUUCUAUGUCUCCCACCUGGACUAGAUCCCGGAUGGAAUUGAAGUGUCUCUUGAUGUGCUUGGUUCUCUUGUGAAAUCUGGAUUCCUUCGCCAAGGCUAUUGCUCCAGUAUUGCCACAAAAGAUUUUCAUUGGACCCGAUGCACUAGGUAUGACACCUAGAUCGGAUAUGAACUCCUUCAUCCAGACUCCUUCAUUUGCUGCUUCUGAAGCAGCUAUGUACUCCGCUUCACACGUAGAUCCCGCCACGACGCUUUGUUUAGAACUGCACCAACUGACAGCUCCACCGUUCAAUGUAAACACGUAUCCGGUUUGCGAUUUAGAAUCAUCUGGAUCAGUGUCAAAGCUUGCAUCAACGUAACCAUUUACGAUGAGCUCUUUGUCACCUGCAUAAACGAGAAACAUAUCCUUUGUCCUUUUCAGGUAUUUCAGGAUGUCUUGACCGCUGUCCAGUGAUCCACCCCUGGAUUACUUUGGUACCUCCCUGCUAGACUUAUAGCAAGGCACACAUCAGGUCUGGUACACAGCAUUGCAUACAUGAUAGAGCCUAUGGCUGAAGCAUAGGGAACAUCUUUCAUUUUCUCUCUAUCUUCUGCAGUGGUCGAGCAUUGAGUCUUACUCAACUUCACACCUUGUAACACAGGCAAGAACCCUUUCUUUGCUUGAUCCAUUUUGAACUUCUUCAAAACUUUGUUAAGGUAUGUGCUUUGUGAAAGUCCAAUUAAGCGUUUUGAUCUAUCUCUAUAGAUCUUAAUGCCCAAUAUGUAAGCAGCUUCACCGAGGUCUUUCAUUGAAAAACUCUUAUUCAAGUAUACCUUUAUGCUAUCCAGAAAUUCUAUAUCAUUUCCAAUCAGUAAUAUGUUGUCCACAUAUAAUAUCAGAAAUGCUACAGAGCUCCCACUCACUUUCUUGUAAAUACAGGCUUCUCCAAAAGUCUGUAUAAAACCAAAUGUUUUGAUCACACUAUCAAAGCAUUUAUUCCAACUCCGAGAGGAUUGCACCAGUCCAUAAAUGAAUCGCUGGAGCUUGCACACUUUGUUAGCUCCCUUUGGAUCGACAAAACCUUCCGGUUGCAUCAUAUACAACUCUUCUUCCAGAAAUCCAUUCAGGAAUGCAGUUUUGACAUCCAUCUGCCAUAUUUCAUAAUCAUAAAAUGCGGCAAUUGCUAACAUGAUUCGGACAGACUUAAACAUCGCUACGGGUGAGAAGGUCUCAUCGUAGUCAAUCCCUUGAACUUGUCGAAAACCUUUCGCAACAAGUCGAGCUUUAUAGACAGUAACAUUACCGUCAGCGUCUGUCUUCUUCUUGAAGAUCCAUUUAUUCUCGAUUGCUUGCCGAUCAUCGGGCAAGUCAACUAAAGUCCACACUUUGUUUUCAUACAUGGAUCCCAUCUCAGAUUUCAUGGCCUCAAGCCAUUUUGCGGAAUCUGGGCUCACCAUCGCUUCUUCAUAGUUCGCAGGUUCAUCAUGAUCUAGUAGCAUGACUUCCAGAACAGGAUUACCGUACCACUCUGGUGCGGAUCUUACUCUGGUUGAUCUACGAGAUUCAGUAGCAACUUGAUCUGAAGUUCCAUGAUCAUCAUCAUUAACUUCCUCACUAAUUGGUGUAGGCGUCACAGAAACCGAUUUCUUUGAUGAACUACUUUCCAAUAGAGGAGCAGGUACAGUUACCUCAUCAAGUUCUACUUUCCUCCCACUCACUUCUUUCGAGAGAGACUCCUUCUCUAGAAAAACUCUGAAUUUAGCAACAAAAGUCUUGCCUUCGGAUCUGUGAUAGAAGGUGUACCCAACAGUCUCCUUUGGGUAUCCUAUGAAGACACAUUUCUCCGAUUUGGGUUCGAGCUUAUCAGGUUGAAGCUUUUUCACAUAAGCAUUGCAGCCCCAAACUUUCAGAAACGACAACUUUGGUUUCUUGCCAAACCACAGUUCAUAAGGCGUCGUCAAUUUCGAUGGUGCCCUAUUUAACGUGAAUGCGUCCGUCUCUAAAGCAUAACCCCAAAACGAUAGCGGUAAAUCAGUAAGAGACAUCAUAGAUCGCACCAUAUCUAGUAAAGUACGAUUACGAUGUUCGGACACACCAUUACAUUGUGGUGUUCCGGGUGGCGUGAGUUGCGAAACUAUUCCGCAUUGCUUCAAAUGUAGACCAAACUCGUAACUCAAAUAUUCUCCUCCACGAUCCGAUCGUAGAAACUUUAUUUUCUUGUUACGAUGAUUUUCAACUUCACUCUGAAAUUCUUUAAACUUUUCAAAUGUUUCAGACUUAUGUUUCAUUAAGUAGAUAUACCCAUAUCUGCUUAAAUCAUCUGUGAAGGUGAGAAAAUAACGAUAUCCGCCACGAGCCUCAAUAUUCAUCGGACCACAUACAUCUGUAUGUAUGAUUUCCAACAAAUCUGUUGCUCUCUCCAUAGUACCGGAGAACGGCGUUUUAGUCAUCUUGCCCAUGAGGCACGGUUCGCAAGUACCAAGUGAUUCAUAAUCAAGUGGUUCCAAAAGUCCAUAAGUAUGGAGUUUCUUCAUGCGCUUUACACUGAUAUGACCUAAACGGCAGUGCCACAAAUAAGUUGCACUAUCAUUAUCAACUUUGUAUCUUUUGGCUUCAAUAUUAUGAAUAUGUGUAUCAUUACUAUCGAGAUUCAACAAAAAUAGGCCAUUCUUCAAGUGUGCAUGACCAUAAAAGAUAUUACUCAUAUAAAUAGAACAACCAUUAUUCUCUGAUUUAAAUGAAUAACCGUCUCGCAUCAAACAAGAUCCAGGUAUAAUGUUCAUGCUCAACGCUGGCACCAAAUAACAAUUAUUUAGGUCCAAUACUAAUCUCGAAGGUAGAUGUAUAGGUAGCGUGCCGACCGAGAUCACAUCGACUUUGGAACCAUUUCCCACGCGCAUCGUCACCUCGUCCUUAGCCAAUCUUCGCUUAAUCUGUAGCCCCUGUUUCGAGUUGCAAAUAUUAGCAACAGAACCAGUAUCAAAUACCCAGGUGCUACAGCGAGCAUUAGUAAGAUACACAUUAAUAACAUGUAUAUCACAUAUACCUUUGUUCACCUUGCCAUCCUUCUUAUCCGCCAAAUACUUAGGGCAGUUCCGCUUCCAGUGACCAGUCUGCUUGCAGUAGAAGCACUCAGUUUCAGGCUUAGGUCCAGACUUGGGUUUCUUCUCCUGAGCAGCAACUUUCUUGCUGUUCUUCUUGAAGUUCCCCUUCUUCUUCCCUUUGCCCUUUUUCUUGAAACUACUGGUCUUAUUGACCAUCAACAUUUGAUGCUCCUUCUUGAUUUCUACCUUCGCAGCCUUUAGCAUUGCGAAGAGCUCGGGAAUCGUCUUAUCCAUCCCUUGCAUAUUAUAGUUCAUCACGAAGUUCUUGUAGCUUGGUGGCAGUGAUUGGAGAAUUUUGUCAAUGACGCUAUCAUCUGGAAGAUUAACUCCCAGUUGAAUCAAGUGAUUGUAGUACCCAGACAUCUUGAGUAUAUGCUCACUGACAGAACCAUUCUCCUCCAUCUUGCAGCUAUAGAACUUAUUGGAGACUUCAUAUCUCUCAAUCCGGGCAUUUGCUUGAAAUAUUAACUUCAACUCCUGGAACAUCUCAUAUGCUCCAUGACGUUCAAAACGUCGUUAAAGUCCCGGUUCUAAGCUGUAAAGCAUGGCACAUUGAACUAUCAAGUAGUCAUCAGCUUUGCUCUCCCAGACGUUCUUAACGUCGUCAGUUGCAUCAGCAGCAGGCCUGGCACCUAGCGGUGCUUCCAGGACGUAAUUCUUCUGUGCAGCAAUGAGGAUAAUCCUCAAGUUACGGACCCAGUCCAUGUAAUUGCUACCAUCAUCUUUCAACUUUGCUUUCUCAAGGAACGCAUUAAAAUUCAACAGAACAACAACACGGGCCAUCUAUCUACAAUCAACAUAGACAAGCAAGAUACUAUAAGGUACUAAGUUCAUGAUAAAUUUAAGUUCAGUUAAUCAUAUUACUUAAGAACUCCCACUUAGAUAGACAUCCCUCUAAUCCUCUAAGUGAUCACGUGAUCCAAAUCAACUAAACCAUGUACGAUCAUCACGUGAGACGGAGUAGUUUCAAUGGUGAACAUCACUAUGUUGAUCAUAUCUACUAUAUGAUUCACGCUCGACCUUUCGGUCUCCGUGUUCCGAGGCCAUAUCUGUUAUAUGAUAGGCUCGUCAAGUUUAACCUGAGUAUUCCGCGUGUGCAACUGUUUUGCACCCGUUGUAUUUGAACGUAGAGCCUAUCACACCCGAUCAUCACGUGGUGUCUCAGCACGAAAAACUUUCGCAACGGUGCAUACUCAGGGAGAACACUUUAUACUUUGAUAAUUUAGUGAGGGAUCAUCUUAUAAUGCUACCGUCAAUCAAAGCAAGAUAAGAUGCAUAAAAGAUGAACAUCACAUGCAAUCAAUAUAAGUGAUAUGAUGUGGCCAUCAUCAUCUUGUGCUUGUGAUCUCCAUCUCCGAUGCACCGUCAUGAUCACCAUCGUCACUGGCACGACACCUUGAUCUCCAUCGUAGCAUCGUUGUCGUCUCGCCAACUUAUGCUUCUACGACUACCGCUACCGCUUAGUGAUAAAGUAAAGCAUUAUAGGGCGAUUGCAUUGCAUACAAUAAAGCAACAACCAUAUGGCUCCUGCCAGUUGCCAAUAACUCGGUUACAAAACAUGAUCAUCUCAUACAAUAAAAUUUAGUAUCAUGUCUUGACCAUAUCACAUCACAACAUGCCCUACAAAAACAAGUUAGACGUCCUCUACUUUGUUGUUGCAAGUUUUACGUGGCUGCUACGGGCUUAGCAAGAACCGUUCUUACCUACGCAUACGAUAGUUUGUCAAGUUGGUGUUGUUUUAACCUUCGCAAGGACCGGGCGUAGCCACACUCGGUUCAACUAAAGUUGGAGAAACUGACACCCGCCAGCCACCUAUGUGCAAAGCACGUCGGUGGAACCAGUCUCGCGUAAGCGUACGCGUAAUGUCGGUCCGGGCCGCUUCAUCCAACAAUACUACCGAACCAAAGUAUGACAUGCUGAUAAGUAGUAUGACUUAUAUCGCCCACAACUCACUUGUGUUCUACUCGUGCAUAUGACAUCUACGCAUAAAACCUGGCUCGGAUGCCACUGUUGGGGAACGUAGUAAUUUAAAAAAAAUCCUACGCACACGCAAGAUCAUGGUGAUGCAUAGCAACGAGAGGGGAGAGUGUUGUCCACGUACCCUCGUAGACCGAAAGCGAAAGUGUUAGCACAACGCGGUUGAUGUAGUCGUACGUCUUCACGAUCCGACCGAUCAAGUACCGAACGUACGGCACCUCCGAGUUCAGCACACGUUCAGCCCGAUGACGUCCCUCGAACUCCGAUCCAGUCAAGUGUUGAGGGAGAGUUUCGUCGGCACGACGGCGUGGUGACGAUGUUGAUGUUUUACCGACGCAGGGCUUCGCCUAAGCACCGCUACAGUAUUAUCGAGGUGGACUAUGGUGGAGGGGGGCACCGCACACGGCUAAAAGAUCAAACAGAUCAAUUGUUGUCUCUAUGGGGUGCCCCCUGCCCCCGUAUAUCAAGGAGCAAGGGGGAGGCCGGCCGGCCCUCUAUGGCGCGCCAGGAGGAGGAGUCCUCCUCCUAGUAGGAGUAGGACUCCCCUCUUUCCUACUCCUACUAGGAGGGGGAAAGGAAGGNNNNNNNNNNNNNNNNNNNNNNNNNNNNNNNNNNNNNNNNNNNNNNNNNNNNNNNNNNNNNNNNNNNNNNNNNNNNNNNNNNNNNNNNNNNNNNNNNNNNNNNNNNNNNNNNNNNNNNNNNNNNNNNNNNNNNNNNNNNNNNNNNNNNNNNNNNNNNNNNNNNNNNNNNNNNNNNNNNNNNNNNNNNNNNNNNNNNNNNNNNNNNNNNNNNNNNNNNNNNNNNNNNNNNNNNNNNNNNNNNNNNNNNNNNNNNNNNNNNNNNNNNNNNNNNNNNNNNNNNNNNNNNNNNNNNNNNNNNNNNNNNNNNNNNNNNNNNNNNNNNNNNNNNNNNNNNNNNNNNNNNNNNNNNNNNNNNNNNNNNNNNNNNNNNNNNNNNNNNNNNNNNNNNNNNNNNNNNNNNNNNNNNNUUUUCUCCGAAAUCAUCCGGAACACUUCCGGUGUCCGAAUAUAGUCGUACAAUAUAUCAAUCUUUAUGUCCCGACCAUUUUGAGACUCCUCGUCAUGUCCGUUAUCACAUCUAGGACUCCGAACAACCUUCGGUACAUCAAAACAUAUAAACUCAUAAUAUAACUGUCAUCGAAACAUUAAGCGUACGGACCCUACGGGUUCGAGAACUAUGUAGACAUGACCGAGACACGUCUCCGGUCAAUUAACAAUAGCGGAACCUGGAUGCUCAUAUUGGCUCCCACAUAUUCUAUUAAGAUCUUUAUCGGUCAGACCGCAUAACAACAUACGUUGUUCCCUUUGUCAUCGGUAUGUUACUUGCCCGAGAUUCGAUCGUCGGUAUCUCAAUACCUAGUUCAAUCUCGUUACCGGCAAGUCUCUUUACUCGUUCCGUAAUACAUGAUCCCGUAACUAACUCAUUAGUUGCAAUGCUUGCAAGGCUUAAGUGAUGUGCAUUACCGAGAGGGCCGGGAGAUACCUCUCCGACAAUCGGAGUGACAAAUCCUAAUCUCGAAAUACGCCAACCCAACAAGUACCUUUGGAGACACCUGUAGAGAACCUUUAUAAUCACCCGGUUACGUUGUGACGUUUGGUAGCACACAAAGUGUUCCUCCGGUAAAUGGGAGUUGCAUAAUCUCAUAGUCAUAGGAACAUGUAUAAGUCAUGAAGAAAGCAAUAGCAACAUACUAAACGAUCGGGUGCUAAGCUAACGGAAUGGGUCAAGUCAAUCACAUCAUUCUCCUAAUGAUAUGAUCCCGUUAAUCAAAUGACAACUCAUGUCUAUGGUUAGGAAACAUAACCAUCUUCGAUUAACGAGCUAGUCAAGUAGAGACAUACUAGUGACACUUUGUUUGUCUAUGUAUUCAGACAUGUAUUAUGUUUCCGGUUAAUACAAUUCUAGCAUGAAUAAUAAACAUUUAUCAUGAUAUAAGAAAAUAAAUAAUAACUUUAUUAUUGCCUUUAGGGCAUAUUUCCUUCAUUGCCCCCAAUUCAUUCAACGAUAAUGGUUUGGCCUUUGGUGAGCCACCUUGAAGAUUCGUAAAGCUGCAUAUCAAUGACGGAGUCACGCCAAGAUCGGGUAAGGUGAUGAUCAGUCAUCUUUUAUUUGGUAACAGAUGUGAUGGUACGAGAGACAUGUGACGAAUGUUGGUGUCAAGCUUACAGCUUGCAUCGAAGCCACUCAAACCGAUGACGGACUAACUUUUACAUGGACUAACUGGACUCCUUGAGUAGCCAAAAAAAUUACGUAGUACAUACUAGUAGUAUUGCUAUCUCUUUUGGAUUAGUUUGAAUCUCUAUUCCUAAUGGAGCAGUUGGUAGUCUCGCUUCCAGGUUUUUUUUCGUCCCACCUCUCAUGGUUUUUUUUGGUACCUCCCGUGGCCCUGGGAGUUGGUGCGGUGGAAGCGGCACUUGAAGGACCCAACGUGGGUGGCCGGUGCGCAGACGCACUUGGAAGCGGGCCCGUGGCCCGCGCCAGACGAUGCCGACGCUGACCCGGGCCACCUCCUCCGCAUAUUCUUGGAGCUGUGGCUGGCCGAUUUACAUGAAAUUAUUUUCCUUAGUUGUGGUGGCAAAUAUAAUACACAUAAUCGAUAUUGUUAUGCACUAGCGUGUGUGUGUGUGUGUGUGUGAAAUAGAUGGAUUAUGGUCCCGUACCCAGUAAGAUGGAUGUGUGUGUGUGUUAGAGAGAGAGAGAGGGAGAGGGGGAGAGAGAGUGAGGAAGAGGGAGGGAGAGAGUGUGUGUGAGGAUUUGAUGGUAAAAAAGGUUGCCAAUGUCACUUGAUAUGUAUGAGAAUAUUAAUAUCGAACUUUUAAAGUUAAUGUGGCCCCGUUGCAACGCACGGGCGUUCUUCUAGUUGCAGUAGUAUUGUUGUCUCAGUUGUUGUGACAUUUUUUUGCGUGGUAGCCGUUGUCUUCACUGAAAUUGUUUAGUUAAAAAGAACUGCAAUUUUUGUAGUAUAAAUUAUCCCUUUAGCUACAUUUCAGCCAACUGACUUUUUAUUUUGUGGUCAAUCGAUUUUCUGUUCAUUGGAUGUGCUUUGAGAUCUGUGUUGUUUUCAUUUUUUCUGUUUAAUUCUGUUGUGGGAUGUGUGGAAUCGAUUGACCCCUAUUUUGGGCCAGUCGAAUUGCUUCCUGGGCUUGUUUUUGUUCUUCUGGGUUGCGUUUUUCUUUUUCCUUUUUCCCUUUUUCUUUAUUGGUCUUUUUGGGUUUUUGGCUGAGUGUAACUAUAUACAUACAUAUACUAUAUAAUAUGUGCAAAAAUUUCAUUAUUAUAUGAUUAUUUUUGCUUAUUACGAUAAAGUGUAAUUUUGGUGGAAAGUUGUGCACAAGUUUUUUUAAUUUCUCUCUUCUUAAAGGAAAUACCAUCGCCAUUAAUUCAUUCCUUUUUAGAAAAAAAUCAUUAUUUGAUAUUGUUUGGCACUUCAUUUUGAUUCUACUUUAAGGUCAAGUACCAAUGCCACUAUUCAUUUGUUCUUAGAUUUUGUAUUUGCAAAAGUUCCACUUUUAUAUGCUUAUUCUUGCAUAUUUUUGAACAGUGCAAUUUUUAUUUAUAUUUCACGCAAAUUUUGUCAGUGUUUGUUUUAGAUUCUUUUUCUCAGUUUUUUUCUUCUUAAACGGUAAUACCAAUGCCACAUAUUCAUUCUUUCUUUCUUUUGUGGGUAUUUUUGCUUUUUUUAUUCUGGUUUUCUGUUUCUAUGCGCUUUUUCUUUUUCUUUUUUCCUUUUAUUGGUUAUUUCUUGUUUUUUGUGGGUUUUAGCUGUUUUUUUUUGUUGAGUUAUCUUUUUUCUUUAUGUGUUUUUUUGGAAGUUGAGUUUGUGUAAAUAUAUACACACAAGUACUACAUGUAUACAUUAUACUAGAGUAUGGAAAUUUCACUACUAUAUGUUUCUUCUUACAUAUUAUAAAAAGUGCAAAUUUUGUUCUAAUCACGAAGAAAUUUUAGUUUUAAGUUUUUAUUUCAAUUUCUCUCUUUUUAAGGGUAAUACCAAUGACAUAAUGCAUUCCUUCUUUGAAACUUUUUUUUUAUGUAAAUUCUACUAGUAUAUGUUAGUUCUUGCAUAGCUAUAGAAACUGCAAUUUAUGUGUAACUUAUGUGCAAAUUUUAUCAUGAUUUAUUUUUCAUUCCUUUAUUCUUAAAGGGUGGUACCAAUGCCACUACUUCAUUCUUUUUUAGAAAAUAUCAUAUUUUUGUGUGUUUAAAUAAGUAUACACGCAAGUAGUAUACAACAUGUGUGUAAAUUAUAGUGGAGUGUGAAAUUGCAAUAUUAUAUGUUCGCUGUUUGCAUAUUACUAAAAGUGCAAUUUCAGUGCAAACUUGUGUGUAAUUUUUUCUCUUUUUGUUUUUUUUCUAAAAGGGGUUCAUUAUUCCCUAGAAAACUUUAUUAUUUUGAUUUUGUUUUAGUUUUUUUUCAUUUUGUUUCUUCUUAAAGGGUUUCAUUCUUCCAUAGAAAACUUCAUUAUUUUGUUUUUAUUUCUAUUUUUAUUUUAUUUCCUUUUAUUUCUUUAGAGGCAAUACCAAUGUCAUUACUAUUAUAUGUUUUAUUGGUUACUCAAAAUAUUAUAUGUUUAUUCAUGCAUAUUAUAAAAAAUGUGAUUUUUGGCCCAAUAGAUUAGAUCUUCUAAUUUGUACUACCACUGAUCUGGAUUGAGAUCUAUGCAACUUUUUAAGGGGUGUACCAAAGCAUUUCCUAUUUUAAUUUUUAACUUAAUGUGAUUGCGAUUUAGUUUUGCUCAUUUCUUGAAAAAGGUUUCAGAAGUAUACAAUGAGAUGGUGUGUACUAUUUCUACCCUCAAUAAAGAAGUUAGAGAUAUAGAUUUAGAUUUGCAUCACGUAAUCUAAUUGUAGAAAAACUGAAUUAUUUAUGCACAAAGAUGGUUGUUGUGAUUAUAUUAUCUUGGAUUUUGUUAUAGCCAUAUGUGCAGGGACAUUUUGAUAUGAUAAUUUACUGCUCCCUCUGUCAACAAAUAUAAGAUGUUUUUUGCGAGAAAAAUAAAUAUAAGAUAUUUUAGAUUACUAAUUAAAAUAAUAUAGUUUUGUACAUUUAGACUAUAUUUAGAUAUAUAUGAUAUUUUAAGAAGGGGUAAUGAACAUAUAUGGAACUAAAUGAAUAUGGCCGAGAACUAAUACUUUUCUGCCAACCCGUUGACACUGCUAUGGUAGUGGUUUCUUCCACGAUAGUCCCGUUUUCUUGUCAUCGGACCGUUUAUUCCGUUGAAACGCACGAGCGAUACAUAGUAUAGGAAAAGAGGGAACACCUGAAUCGUUGGAGGAGAAAAGUAGAGAUUGAACUAUCCAAUUCCAAACAUCUUGGACUUCAAUGGCCCUCGCUCUGUCCUCGAUUCCCUGUUUGAGCAAAUUGUAUGCAAAGAGAAGACCAAUCAGGGAGCCAAAAUUAAACAAACUAUAAAAAGAUCAAAUGGAAAAUGGACUUAAAAAAUACUAGAUCUUUUUGAGGCGGCGUCUAUCCUGGUUGCAAAGCAAAUGGGGCUGAUGAGGUUCUGCCAGCCUGCCCCUGCCCCUGCCCCUGCUGCUGCUCACAGAUGGGCCGGACUUCUUAUAGGCAAUGUGCUGCAGGAAAAGUAAAGAGAAAUCUGUAAGGAAGUGAUAAUGAAAAAGUUAAGGGUGAUCAAAGGAACCAACCAUAAUCAAUAGAGAUAAUAUCGUCGGGAGUCAUAUAACUUUGCACUUGAUGUUUAGUAUGGUGCUAAAACUUUAAAAACGCGAAUUUGUGAUUAUCUAACUUGCACUCUCGUGCAAAUACGGUCACUUCACUCAUAUUCAGACUAUACACACUUAUGUGGCACACCAGUGUGGCUAUGGCCCACUAUCAGUGCUUGGAACAGCUUAGUGUGUGUUUUUUUCUUUUUGCAGAAGCACCCUCAUUCUGUAUUUAAUUAAGCGGACGCACGUGGGUCCCAUUUAUGAACAAGGUGGCGAGAGAAAUGAGAACAAAAAGUGCAUGCGGGGAUUUGAACUCCCGACAUUAGGUCCAUGCACGCACUAGCAAACCACUUCACCAACAACAUAUACAUCCAUACAAAGAGGUACACUUGGCUUAAUAUUCGACACAGAUUUUUUUUUGGAUUCCUUUUUUUCGUCAAUAAGUUCAAACUAAAAAAACCGUGUCAAAAUGAACAAUAUUUAUCCCAUGGCAUACAAACUUUUUUAUGAGCGAGAUUUUUUCUUUUGCAAAAGAGAAUUAUUUAUUCCAUUUUUUCAGGGCAUCGAAAAACCUGGGUUUCGAAAUAUCUUGGCAAUUCUAGUUUUUUCGCCCAAAAAUUCGAAAUGAGGUAACGUCUAAAUAUGGUUUAACAAAAAAAAUGUCCACCUGAAUAGAGGAGCCGUCGUCUCCAACAUAUAUAAUUCAGCAUUUCUUGUCGCAUAGACACGAACCGGUACUUGGUGAAGUGACCGUAUUUGCACGAAAACGCAAGUUGGAUGACCACAAAUCCGUAUUUUUAUAAUUUUAGCACCAAACUGAACAUUGAGCACAAGUUAUAUGACUCCCGAUAAUAUUACCUCUAAUCAAUAAUGCUAGGCGCUUUGAAAGAGGAGCAGAAUAGAGAACAACAAGACGGACGAGGGGAGAACAAACAUCGGCUAAGGAUUGUAUCAGCUACUGUUUUAUCAACUUAAACGAACGAUUGGUUGAAAUACACACAGAGGUCGGGGCCCUAAUCAGGCUGGGCCCUAGGCCGUCGCACUUCCUGCCCCUACCCAAGGCCGACCCUGACAGAAGCACCGCCUCAUGGUCGUUGCAGUCAAAAGAUUUCAACCCCCGCGUGGUCUAAACUAGUUAUAUACAAAUUGUAUGAUAAGGGAAGAGCCAAGAAGUCCAUUUUUUUUGUUAAAUAAUGGUCAUGCAUAUGAGAUAUUUUUCAAGUGUUGGUUUUACUCUUUCAAGACCAUUUUGCGUGUGAAUGAUGAGUUAUGUUUGUAUCUUAGUUGAACAUUCAUUCAUAGCUUUAAAGUUGUCUUUCCACAUGUGACUUGUAUACAUGAUGUUCCUAGAUGAUCAUCAAAGGCUUACAUGAAGCUUAUUAUGACCAAUCGUUUUCUUCCAAGCCUUUCAACCAAUCGAUGCGACCUCGUAGGGUAGCUUUUGCUAAAACUCGAGCAGUUUCUUGAACACUUGCUUCAAAUAUGAAACUUUGGGUAUCUAGGGAAGCCCUUGUUAUUCCCAAUAAGAUUGCUCGAUAAUAGAUCGAUUCAUCCAAAGCCCUACUCAUUCCGUUCACUGUAGUUCGAUUAAUUCCUCUGGCAAAGAAACAUUAGGCAUUCCAUAUUUGGAAACCCACACUUUUGAGGGAAUGUGUCUAGUGCACCCGCGCUUGUGGUGCUACUGGUGCACCGGAUGCUGCAGAGCAUUUAAAAAAAAUCUGAUUUUUUUUAAAAUAGUGACACAACAUCAUUGUAUGUUGUCAAAAAGUUUUGGUAGCAAAAUUUGAAAUAUUUCUAAAGCCCAACUUAUGUUAUGUACUAUUAAGUGUAGACCUUGUCAUUUUCGUUUUUCGAGCGAUGAUUUGAAUUUGAUUUCAAAAUUUGUGACAUCCUACAUUGAUGUUGUCUCAAUGUGCUAAUUCUUUUUUCAAAAAAUUUAAGCAUUUUGAAAUGUACAAGAUGAGUUCGGUGCACCGAUAACCAUAAGCAAUAAAUGCCAUGCUUCGAUAGGUAUGGCCCAAGUUGCUGGAUCCAGGUUUCUUGGCCCACAAUCCUGAAGCAAGGGUUUGGUAGCCUGUAAAGUGGGUUUCUUGGCCCACAAUCAAUCCUGCACAAGUCAGUUCCAGGGCCCUCGAGAAGGUUCCAUCAUAUGGACCCGCAUGCGUUAGCGAAUGGGAUCCGCAUCCGACAAGGUCCACUCGUGGAGAGUAAAGAAAGACCGGGCGCGUCGGUGCAGCCCGAGCCCGAGACGGCGACCGGAUCCGAUCCGAUGCGGGAACUCUAGGGUUCGCGAGGCUAUUUAUACGCGAGACCGGGGUCUCCUGCUCACUCGGUCCCAGCCGCCGCCGCCACUAGCUUCCAGCGAACAGAGCCAAGGGUUUGGGAGAGAGCGAUGGAGGGAGGAGUGAUCUCGUUGCCGGCGCCGGCGCCGGUUUCUUGCCUCGCCAACAGGGAGUUCCAGGCCACCCCCACCCCCAGCCCGUCCGACGAGUCGACGGUCCUCCGCGAGCUGAACGUUUCCGUCUCCCUCGCCGGUCUGGACAUCUCCCGCGGCCACCACGGCGAGCCGGACGUCCUGGGCCAGAGACGCAGCAAGUGCAAGCCCAAGGUCCGGACAGUCUCCAAGAUGCACAUGGCGGCCAAGGCCAAGGCCAGGGCGGAGAAGGCGGCGGCGGCGGCGCUCGACAAGGCCAAGGCGGAGAAGAAGGCGGCGGCGGCGAACGACAAGGCAAAGACGGAGACGAAGGCGGCGGCGGCGGACUACAAGGUCAAGCCGGAGAAGGAGGCGGCGCCUGCUGGUGGUGCUGCUGCAUCCCCCGAGAGGUUGAAGCUCAACCCGUACGAGGGGUAUGCGAUCAAGGAGAAGAGGAUGGUGAAGAUGGACCAUCGGAACAGCUACAUCAAGUGGCUGCUCGAGUGGGACAAGAAGCCUCGCCCUCCCCUGCCCAACCUCCCCGAGACGCUCCGCUCCAUGGUCGCCAUCAAGGCCGAGCGAGCCCACCAUGAGAGGGUCCUCGCCGACUUCAAGCUCGACGGGCACGCCUACGUCCAGGUCGACGUCUUCUACGACGACGACCCAAGGGCCAACCUCCCCGACGACCAGUACGAGGUCAUCCACCACGACAGCGACGAAGAAGCUUGAUCUACUUAGCUGAGCAAGAUCUAUCUACCUAUCUAUCUAUCUAAUGUGCGCCAUGGAUUAGAGUGUGAUUCCUUCUAGUGAUCUACUGCGUCUUAAAUUUAUGUUUGCAAGUGAUGAUCUUGUAUCGUAGCUAUAUGUAGUGUGUCCUCUGGCUUUUGCAACCUGGCAAGCUACUAUCUAUCUAAUGUGUUACUGAAACUCUCUGUUAUGUUGUUCUUCAAAUCAGCGAUCACAUCGGUCACAAAUCUUCAUAGGGCAAAAUUGAUCCGCAAUUACUUGUUCUAGAUGUAUUUCAAUGCUAGAUACAUCCAUUUGAGCGAUAAGUAAUUCCGAGUGGAGGAAAUACUUGGCAAUAGUAGUAUGUGUUGACUUUCUACUAGUUCAUGCCAAAUCGGAAACUUUUUGUUGGUCUAAGAUAUGUUGACUUUUUGUAUGUCUUAUAUAAGAUAAUUUCUCUACUGCAACAACAGGAGCCUGUCGACAAUCUGAAUUAUAGCUCAGAAGCAGAUGAAGCUCAAUGUUAGCACUAAGGUGCGAUUACCUCCACUAUGACAAAUUAGUCCACUUGUGUUUUCUCAUUCAUGGCUCUAAGUACGCAGUAAAUAGUAAAUACACACGUUGUCUUGUCAUGUGGAGAGUUCAAGUUCUUUUGUUUUUUGGUAACAAAAGCGAAUGCAUGCUCUGCACAGAGUUCAAGUCAUAGUUUUUCAUGUUUAUGUUGGCAUGUGGGAUUGAUGCAGGGAAAUAAUCCUGCCUAUUUUUGUUGCUACAGGGUUUGUCUUACUCUUGUACUUGAUCGCCAUGAUAUAUACUUAAGCUCAUAACACGAGCCUUACAAUCCCUGUUGCCUUUCUAUGACCCCAGAAGUGAAAUCAUUCAUUCUUUACCCUUUUACCAUACUUGUGUGGUGUCCAUUGUUUGUUGUCCAUAAAGUUUAUAGGUGUCAAUCUUUGUAGUUGCUGCUCUAUUUCUGUUGUUGCACUUAUGAACUCCGGUAAUUAGAUUGGCAAGUUCAAGGGGUGAAGAUAGCUGCAGGUAGUUUUCAGAAUGAAUAGCUUUACACCAUGAUUUGCAGUUUUAUGGUAGUUAAUUUUGAUCACAAAGACCCAUAAUGUGAACUAAUAAGUAAUACCACCUGCAUCUGUAAAUUUAACAACUGGACACAUUGAUUCAGUGCCUCCUUUUUCCACGUGCAAAAGUUGUUCUCAGGUUUUCAACAGAUCCUGCUCUGCUAUUAUAGGCAACCCUUUUAACUUCACUCUCUUUAUGAUACUCAUGUGGUUCUCUAUAUCGCACCAUGAGGCUAGGGCUAUGAUGUAAUUGUCUUGACCAAUGUUUAAUCUGAUGUUAUUACUAUCAGUUUAUUUUCCAUCUUCCGGCUUCCGCAGGAUGUUUGUUCAAAUUUUGCACAUAUCUUGUGAGCUUGUGGAGUUUCCGCUAAAGAAAGCAUUUACUUUUUUUUCCCAGUUCUCAGUUAAAUUUUGGAUCGUCUUUGUUUGUUUGUUUGUUUGUUCCUUUGCAACUUUUGACCAGCAGCAUGUUUACCUGUUGUAACGACAUCAAAUACAGCAAAGUAGGCCAGCCCGUCCUGUUUUCUUUGAUAAUCUGUUUCUGUUGCUCUUGCUAGCAGAUGACCAUUGACAUAUUUUGACCAUUAUGCAGAUGUUAGAAUAGUGGUUUGUAUUUGGUUGCCCAUUCCUCUGACCACUUAUUGUAAACUUUAGUGUUCAACUCUAGAUAGUUAAACAAAUGACUGCAUGUCAGCAGCAUCUUUCUGGACUGACACAUUAUUAUUGCUCCCUUCGUUUCUUUUUAGUCUGCAUAUAACUUUUGUUUGAAGCCAAAGUAUCACUAGUUUAACCAAACUUAUAGAAAAAUGUAUCAACAUUCACAAUAUCAAAUCAAUAUCAUCAUAUUUUAUUAUGGAAUAUAGUUUCGUAUUAUAUAGUAUAUAUUUGGUAUUGUAGAUGUUUGUAUUUUUAAAUAUAAAUUUGGUCAAACUUUGCAAAGUUUGACUUGACACAAAUCUUAAAGUAGGAAGUAUUAUUAUUAAGAUGCCGAUAACUCCCAAAUGUUUGGGAUAUGCUCAUGGCAAAUCAAAUAUUUUUUGUGGCAAUUAUGUACAUAAGGGAUGGCAAGUUUAGUUGGUAAGCAUGACAAUUUUGUCUUUGGCUUGUUUUUUGCAAGGAAAUUAUCGUGGUUGUCAACUAAAUUUGUCAUCCUUGUAUCAACUAAAGUUGUCAUAAAAUCGUUCGAUUUGCCAUGGGCAAAUCCGGAAUGUUCGGGGUUUAUCAUUUUCGUAUUAUUAGCACUGUGGUGGCUGGUGAAUAGACCAACCUGACUGACAUGCAAGUUCUAUUUUGGUUGCCAUGAUUGCAAUAUCAAACUCUUUUGUUUGGAUGUGCAGUAUGGAACAAACAAGUCUUCUAUGGCUAUAAGGCCCUAUUUUGUUUGUCGAAUGUAGUUCUUCCGGGUUGACUUGCAAAUUGAUCAAAUGACUGUAUGUGACAUAAUAUGAAGUAACAACCCAUAAUGCAAUAAAUAUCAAUAUAAAAGCAUGAUGCAAAAUGGACAUAUCACUUCACCAGAGGGUAAAAGUGCUCCUGCCCAAGUUCCGCCUCGAGACGGCGGCACUUCGUCCCGAAAGUCAUCUCCUUAUUUUUUUUUCUAGGUCAAAAUGACUUAUAUACCAGAAGAGGGGCACCGGAGGUGGGCCGAGGAGGGCACAACCCACCAGGGCGCACCUGGGAGGCUUGGCAUGCCCAGGUGGGUUGUGCCCACCUGGUAGGCCUCCUCUGGUAGUUAUUUGCUCUAGUAUUUUUCUUUUAUUCUAAAACAAUUCUUCGUAAAGUUCAGCUCAUUUGGAGAUAUGCAGAAUAGGUAACUCUAACAUAGCUUUUCCAAGUCCAGAAUUCCAGCUGCCGAUAUUCUCCCUCUUUGUGUAAACCUUGCAUAUUAUGAGAGAAAAGGCAUUAGAAUAACUCCAAAAAGCAGUAUUAUGCAUAAAAACAUAGUAAAUAACAGUAGGUAAACAUGAUGCAAAAUGGACGUAUUAUGGUGUAACCUCUCUUUUACGCGUUGUAAUUCUACUUAAACAUGGUGCUCAACGCUAUAUAUUAUUAUCCAAUGAUGUGUGGUUAUUCUAUGAUGUUUGAGUAGAUCUGUUUUGUGCUAUGGGUUGAUUGAUGGUCAUGAUUGGUUUGAGUUGUAUGUUUUAUUAUUGGUACUGUCCUAUGGUGCUCUCCAUGUCGCGCAAGCGUGAGGGAUCCCAGCUGUAGGGUUUGCAAUAUGUUCAUGAUUCGCUUAUGGUGGGUGGCGUGAGUGACAGAAGCACAUACCCGAGUAAGUAGGUUGUUUGCGUAUGAGAGUAAAGAGGACUUGAUACUUUAAUGAUAUGGUUGGGUUUUACCUUCAUGACCUUUAGUAGUUGCGGAUGCUUGCUAGAGUUACAAUCAUAAGUGCAUUGAUACAAGUAGAGAAAGUAUGUUAGCUUAUGCCUCUCCCUCAUAUAAAAUUGUAAUAAUGAUUACCGGUCUAGUUAUCGAUUGCCUAGGGACAAAUAACUUUCUUGUGUGACAAAAACCUCUCCACUAAAACUAACUUAAUUGUUUAUUUAUCUAAACAACCCCUACCUUUUAUUUACAUGUUCUUUAUUAUAUUGCAAACCUAUCCCUUUACGCCUAUAAAGUACUUCUAGUUUCAUACUUAUUCUAAAGAGCAUGUCAUCCCCCUCCGGAGCAUCAUUCGUAGAUUGGAAUACCCUCUUGAGCUUGCAGUGUGAAGCUACUACCUCACGAACACCACCACCACCUUCUUCACCACCAAAGGAGAUUUGAGUACAUGGUAUGGGCACUUCCCUUGGCUUGUGCCAAGCUUGGGGGAGGUGCCCCGGUAUCGUAUCACACCAUCUCCUUUACCUUUAUCUAUCUUAGUUCGAUCUUUAGUUAUCUUUUGAAUUAGUUGAAUAAAAGUUUAGUUUAAUCUUUUUCAAGUUUUUGCUUAGUGAUCUAUCUAUCUAUGUAAUCGUGUGCGAGAUAUAUAAUAAAUUUUAGUUCGAGUUUUGCUUUCUUUACUCUUAUGUUUCAAUCAAACUAAAAGGAAAUAAAGAAAAAUAUCAUAUGCUAAUCUUAUGGUAAGUAAUGACAUCACAUAAGGAAACGUAUAAUGGUAAAAUUUAUUGGAGAUUGACAAACAUAGCAUUGGUAAAUGAUGCAAUUCAUGAAAGAAUUAAUAAGGGAAGAGAAGAUUCACAUGCAAAUACACUAUCUUGGACAUCUUUUAUGAUUGUGAGCCCCCAUCAAAAUAUUAUAUGCCAAAAUUGUUGAUGUUGGACAAGGAAGACAACAUAAUGAUUUGUGCUUGUUCAUAUUCACAAAGAAGUUAUAUUGUCAUAGAUCAUUUUAACAUGUGGUGCUUGCCCCCUAUCUUUUCUAGCCAGACAUUCCGCACUAAGUAGAGAUACUACUUGUGCAUCCAAAAACCCUUAAACCCAAAAUCUUGUUUUGAGAGUCCACCAUGCGUACCUAUGAAUUGAGUAAGAUCCUUCAAGUAAGUUGUCAUCGGUGCAAUAAGGCAAUAAAAAUUGCUUCUAAAUGUGUUGAAUCAUUUCGUGUAAGAGAAAAUUGAGCGUUGUGCGAACUUGUGAUGGCAAAACAAUAAAGGCGACAGACUGCAUAAUAAAGGUUGCUAUCAUAAGGGGCAAUAUAACGUGACGUUCUUUUGCACUAAGAGAUUGAGCAUACAAACCAAAAAAGCGCACGGCAACCUCUGCUUCCCUCUACUAAGGGCCUAUCUUUUACUUUUAUGUAUUUAUUUUUAUGCAAGAGUCAAAGUAUUCUUCCCUAUUCCUUCUUAUUUUCUCCUUUUGCAAGCAUCAUGUGGUGAGGAUGGUUGAGUAUGUGGACUUGCCAAAAGGCUCCAAUACGAGACCAUUCCUGAAAAGAUGAUGAAUUGUAGUUGCAAAGUUGACUGAGAACAUAGUUUGCUGGUUUUCAGUAGAGUUUAUGCUUUUACUUCGAUGUUGUAAAGAAUUGUUACUUGUUCAUGAGAAGUUAUAUGAUAAAGUUAUACGAUAAAGUUUUAUGAUAAAGUUUGUUUGCUGUCAUAAUAAUGUCUGUAUUUUGUUUUUAUCGACACCUCUCUCUCUCUCUCUAAGCAUGUGGGCAUGUUUUUUGAUAUUAGUUUUUCACUUGAGGACAAGCGAGGUCUAAGCUUGGGGAGUUGAUACGUCCAUUUUGCAUCAUGUUUUCAUGUUGUUAUUUAUAAUGUUUUUAUGCAUAAUAAUGCUUUAUGGAGUAAUUCUAAUGCCUUUUCUCUCGUAAUAUGCAAGGUUUACACAAAGAGGGGGAAUACCGACAGCUGGAAUUCUGGACCUGAAAAAGCUAUGUAAGAGUUACCUAUUAUGCACAUCUCCAAAUGAGCUGAAAAUUUACGGAGAAUUGUUUUGGAAUAUAUUAGAAUACUGGAGCAAAUAACUACCAAAGGGGGCCCACCUGGUGAGCACAGACACCAGGGCGCGCCCUGGUGGGUUGUGCCCAGCAAGGCCCACCUCCGGUGCCCAUCUUCUGGUAUAUAGGUCAUUUUGACCUAGAAAAAAUAAGGGUAGGACUUUCGGGACGGAGCACCGCCGUGUCGAGGCGGAACUUGGGGAGGAGCACUUUCGCCCUCCGGCAGAGCGAUUCUGCCGGGGGAACUUCCCUCCCGGAGGGGGAAAUCGAAGCAAUCGUCAUCACCAACAACCCUUUCAUCUUUGGGAGGGCAAUCUCCACCAACAUCUUCAACAACACCAUCUUCUCUCAAACCCUAGUUCACGUCUUGUGUUCAAUCUUUGUACCGGAACCUCAGAUUGGUACCUGUGGGUGACUAGUAGCGUUGAUUACAUCUUGUAGUUGAUUACUAUAUGGUUUAUUUGGUGGAAGAUUAUAUGUUCAGAUCCAUAUGAUAUCUAAUACCCCUAUGGUCUUGAGCAUGAUUAUCAUUUGUGAGUAGUUACUUUUGUUCUUGAGGUCACGGGAGAAGUCAUGUUGCAAGUAAUCAUGUGAACUUGAUAUGUGUUCGAUAUUUUGAUGAUAUGUAUGUUGUGAUUCCCUUAGUGGUGUCAUGUGAACGUCGACUACAUGGCACUUCACCAUAUUUGGGCCUAAGGGAAUGUGUUGUGGAGUAGUUAUUAGAUGAUGGGUUGCUAGAGUGACAGAAGCUUAAACCCUAGUUUAUGCGUUACUUCGUAAGGGACCGAUUUGGAUCCAAAUGUUUAAUGCUACGGUUAGAUUUUAUUUUAAUACUUUUCUCGUAGUUGUGGAUGCUUGCGAGGGGGUUAAUCAUAAGUAGGAGGUUUGUUCAAGUAAGAACAACACCUAAGCACCGUUCCACCCACAUAUCAAAUUAUCAAAGUAGCGAACACGAAUCAAACCAACAUGAUGAAGGUGGCUAGAUGAAAUCCUGUGUAUCCUCAAGAAUGCUUUGCCUAUUAUAAGAGUCCGUUUUGGCCUGUCCUUUACCACAGAAGGAUUGGGCUACCUUGCUGCACUUUACUUAUCAUUAUAGUUACUUGCUUGUUAGAAAUUAUGUUGCUAUCAAACUAUCUAUUACUGACAAUUUCAGUGCUUGCUGAAAACCACUUGUCAUUUCCUUCUGGGUUCAACACUCUUACUUAUCGAAAGGACUACGAUUGAUCCCCUAUACUUGUGGGUCAUCAUGAUCCAAAGCACAUGACACAAACAUAGGGACCACCUCACACGAACCUGAUACAAACAAACUGUGAGAUAUAUGGAAUUCAAUGAUUUCUGUACUCAAGCAUCUACCCUAGUAUCUUGAAAUAAUAGGCCAAUCAGAAUCAAAAUGGUCCAAGUAAGCAAUGGCCCUUAUCUAAUACAGGGAAUCAACAACGUAGAAAGCAUCAUAGGAGAUGUAAGGUGGUAUACAGAGGAAUGCAUAUUCUUGGCAGCCAAGCAACCAAUUCAUUAUUCCAUCAACCAUGAAGAGUCACUCGGAUGCAAAGUUUGUUUUCAUGCACAAAUUGAGAAGCCACCAAACAAUACAUGAAGAUAAAAGUAUAUUUCACUAUUAGUUUAGUAGCAAAUAACCUAAGCAUAGUGCAUAUGACAGCAUACAUCAACUUAAGAAAGUGAUCAAAUUAUCUCUCUGAACCAAAAAGGCAAGAUUACACUUCACUGUCUUAUCACAUUACCAUCAGAAGUAUCAGAUACUAUUAUAGAUCUGUAUACACCUCACUGUCUUAUCACACAAUUAUACAUAAGAUUAACCAAUGAAAUGAGGCUGGGACCUAGCGGGGCGGACGUUGGGGCUAAACACUGGUCACUAGUGGUGGUGAACGGAAUAGGCAAGAGAUUUCAUCCAUUAAUAAAGCUACUCCAAUCUUCUUAAUCAUGACAACAUAUAAAGGCAGGAGGCUCACCUUCUUUGUUGUAGGUUGGCAAUGACGCAGCAGCUGCAAGAUCGGAGGAGGAGGUCGUUAGGGGGUAGAGGAGGAGGCCGAGGCGAGCUCGUGCUGGUCGGUGGCAGACGAAUUUAUCAAGAAGGCGGCACCUGGGCGCCUAACACGGCGUAUCAAAGGCAGCUCAUCUCGGGCCAUCCAGGCCAUCCUAGGAAGAGCGAAACUGCAUUGGCAUUAGUAUCUGUGCAUAUGCUUGCUUAGGAAUUUGGAUCAAAAUUUAAUUGCACCUGUCGCAACAACUAGACAUGAAUACACAUAUGUGCAUUUGUGUGUCUCAUAUAUUUGUUUAGAGCAGAACUUUACACACACACACACACGCACGCACACACACAAACUCUCGUGCAUGCACACCCCCCCCCCCCACACACACACAUAUAUAUAAAUUUGGUAUAUUAUAUUAGGGGUGCAGGCCAAACAAUGGUUCAUAACAACGCAUCUAUACAACUGAANNNNNNNNNNNNNNNNNNNNNNNNNNNNNNNNNNNNNNNNNNNNNNNNNNNNNNNNNNNNNNNNNNNNNNNNNNNNNNNNNNNNNNNNNNNNNNNNNNNNNNNNNNNNNNNNNNNNNNNNNNNNNNNNNNNNNNNNNNNNNNNNNNNNNNNNNNNNNNNNNNNNNNNNNNNNNNNNNNNNNNNNNNNNNNNNNNNNNNNNNNNNNNNNNNNNNNNNNNNNNNNNNNNNNNNNNNNNNNNNNNNNNNNNNNNNNNNNNNNNNNNNNNNNNNNNNNNNNNNNNNNNNNNNNNNNNNNNNNNNNNNNNNNNNNNNNNNNNNNNNNNNNNNNNNNNNNNNNNNNNNNNNNNNNNNNNNNNNNNNNNNNNNNNNNNNNNNNNNNNNNNNNNNNNNNNNNNNNNNNNNNUAGGUUAAUAGAUUAAUGCAGAUACAAGAUUGAAAGUAGAGUAUACUCACGAGGUAGUACUUCAUAAAGAUGUUUGUGAGCUAACCAGAGAUACUACUGGUGUGCUUCGUCGUUGCUUCCGGACAUGUGAGCAAGGGUUAUAUUGUGUAUGUGCUCCUGUUGGACGGCGCAGCCAGUUCCUCCACCUCAUGCACUGACCGCGUGGUGGUGAAGUGGUGGCUGGGCGUGGAGGUAUCUUCCCAGUGGAGAGCUCCCAAUCAAAAACACAUCAAGCAAAGAAUCAUAAAAAAAAGAACCAAACAACAUAAUUAACAUUAAAACACCAAUUCCUCAUAUAAUAAAAAACUAGAAACUGGGAGCCGACUAGAUAACCAAAUUAACCUAGCAACCAAGAAUAACAUUUUGAUUCGAAGAACUGCAACCACAAUAAGCAUAGACCCUCAAUGCUCUUUUCUAAUCAACCAUGUGAUUAUAUGGCUAAGCAAGGAUCAUAAUAAGCAGAAUUGGGAGCCAACUGGAUAAAAUUUUGAUUCAAAGAACUGCAACCACAAUAAGUAGAAGGGUAAGGCGCACUCCGCUGCGCCGGUUAUAGUUGCAUUCUGCAUCAACUAUGCAUGCUAAGCUCAACCCCCAAAAACUUGUCUUCCAGGCUGUAGCUCAAAGUUUGUAGCUUUAGAUAAACUGCAGGACAAAGCUCCAAUUGUUAUGCUAGUUCUCUUCUGGAUCUACUGUGAAGAAUUGGUAGCCAACAUGUAAUGAAUGUUCGGGCAAAUAUGUAACGUGGAUAACAAUGUGCCUUGGUGUGUUGCAUAAUAGUUCUCUCUCUCCUACUCUGUGAUAAUAUGAUGGAUAAUUUUGUAGCUUGUUGUCUGUAGGAAAUGAACGCUUUCACUCUGUAUCUAAGAUUACUUACAUUAUCUAUAUCCAAGUUGUAGCUGUCAAACGCAUAAGGAUUAAAAAUAGUUACCUCACCUUUUGAGAGAAACAAAAUUGAUCUCAUCGUCAUCAUCACAAAUGAAUAGGUAUAUUCUGUACAUUUCAACAAUUGACUCAAAUCUGUAGAAAUAAAUCAGAGAAAUGAGCUCAGGAAGAUAUAGUCAGAACCUGAGCUAUAAAUUGGUCUCAGAAAUAAAGCUGACAGCAUGAUUGAUUUUAAGUGUCGCAGAACCCAGAGAGAUAGUCGGGCAUUAUCUCUACAAAUUGAGCUCAGAAGCAAGUAUAAACGAAAAUAGAUAUUGGCUUAAAUUUGUACAGAAUAAAACAGAUAAAUUAUAACACGGUUGAGAUAAAUUAUACAUGUCUCGAACACAGCAGAACAAAUAUAUGUGCCAAAAAUUACUCAUAUAUUAUAUUGGCUUAGCAGGUAAGUCAUGACAUUGAGAGGCCUGAUAUUGCAUCAUCAGAUAGUAAAGUGCAUAUUGAUUUGAACUUUAACAAGCAACAAACAAUGCCCAAAAAGCUUAGAUAAAACUCAAGACGAACACUAUCACAGAAAAAUAUGCCUAAAAAGUCCAAAAUAUGAACAUGGUCCUAAAACUUCCCGAAAUAUUAUACUAGACACCAAAUACUUUGCUAUGUUUUCUACUAUCCAGGAUAUGAACUAAAAUCUCAUGGAGGGUAUUAAAUUGUUCCAAAUAUCAUUCCAGAAACCAGAAAAGAGAUUAUUCAUUUGAUUUAUUCAAAUGCUUUGGUACUAAAGCUUUGUUGCACAAGAUGCACCAGCACCAUAUGAAUUGCCAUAUCCACUAAAAGGACCAGCAUAUGGACUGCCAGCCAAACAAAAACAAUAGAACUUUUUCUUGCUGGUACCUGAAUAUUCGGGGCAGUCGCUGUGCUGAACAUAACAUAAACAACAGAACUUGAGGGCAAAGUGGAAUUGAAAUACCUUCAAGAUCACUGGUGUAAAUUGAGUCGUAUUGAUCCUUGUCUUCUUCACGACGCGUUUGCUACCAGAGCCCUAGCAGAAGUGGAAUUGAAGUCAGAACAAAGACAACAAAAAAGUUGUUAGUUAUAAGCCUAUGAUAUUUUGCCUCUGAGAGUGAACACUACCCAUUUAUGAUUAUAUAUAUAUAUAUAUAUGUGUGUGUGUGUGUGUGUGUGUGUGUGUGUGUGCGUGCGUGCGUGCGUGCGUGUGUGUGUACCUUACAAUUGGAAAUGAAUUUAGAAUAUGCUAUUUAUUGUUAUUGACCUCUGUACCAGACUACAAUAUUCGUAGGGAAUAGUUAACCAUUCAUGCAAUUAAUACAUUACUUGAGAAAUCAAACCUCUGUCUUUUUAGCAUGGCGACGUUUGCAGCGGUGCCCAUCUGAUCAUCAGAGACAAUUGGUCAGUUGAAUGUAAGAUCUGUAACAGAAAUUAGCAGCAACUACACUUCCACAGACUAUACCUUCGUCAUCACUUAUGUAAAUCAGGUUACUGAUCCUUGCUCCUUUCAUAGUGCAAUUGUUACUGAGGCCUUAGCAAGAGCAGAACCAAAUUGUGACAGAAAAAAAACCAAAAGAUCAGAUUCUAUUAUGAGCCUACACACAUUUUUCACCGCCAGCAAACAAUUUAUUAUGAAUGUGAGAUAGAAUCUAUUCAUCUUAGAGUUUGGAACUAAAAGGAAGAAUAUUUGUAAGAGCACCAUGUGUACUCCUUAUAUGGCUAAACCAUCACUAGUAGAAAAAGGGUCAAAUGUGAAGCACAUUAGUGCCGGUUUGAAUUUGAGCCGACACUAAUGUGACCAUUAGUGCCGGUUCCAACGGCUAGGCGGGCGGGCAUCAUUAAUACCGGUUCGUGGGUAACCUUUAGUACCGGUUCAUGCCACGAACCGGUACUAAUGAGGCUGUGUCAGGCUAUGGUCAGUCUGGGGCCCCCACGAAGACCUUUAGUACCGGUUCCGGUACUAUAGUUUCUUUGUAAGCUGAUUUUUAGUCCCACCUCGCCAAGAGAGAGGCAAUAUGAGCGGUUUAUAAGCCGUGAGUGCACAGACAAUGACGAAGAGUUGCAAUGCUCACCUACAUGUUGAUUAGCUUCAAGCCUUGCGGAAUAGCAUAGAUUGCACUGAGCUAUGUGCAGUGCAGUCUACACUAUUCUGAAUGGCUUGAAACAAAUUAACCAGCAUUGCACCUCUUUUUUAUUUUUAAUAACUUAUUUGAACUCCGGACUUCUUUUGUGUUCAGUAUGCAACAUUCAAAGUAACGUCAUCAAUUUCCAACAUGUUUUAACAUCAUUUGUUGUUUUUCGGUCAUUUACCUAAUUGUUUAGAGAGCUAAAUGACCGUGAAAUUGAAAAUCACUACAAAAUAAAUCCUAAAAAUGUUGAAACUUGGCAUGGUAUCAUCAUAUCACCCGCAUAGCAUGCGCGAAAGAGUAGAGAGAGUCACGGCAAAAACUGGACGCACUUCGUGUACAAACUGGACAUACUCUUUCGGAGUAUCAGGGUUUCGGAUGAGAACUCAUCUGUUACACGGCCACUUCAAUGUUUUUAAACUUAUUUGAACUCCAGACUUCUUUUGUGUUCAGUAUGCAGCAUUCAAAGCGACGUCAUCAAUUUCCAACAUGUUCUGACAUCAUUUGUUGUUUUUCGGUCAUUUACCUAAUUGUUUUAGAGAGCUAAAUGGCCGUGAAAUUGAAAAUCACUACAAAAUGAAUCCUGAAAAUGUUGAAACUUGGCAUGGUAUCAUCAUAUCACCCGCAUAGCAUGCGCGAAAGAGUAGAGAGGGUCACGGCAAAAACUGGACGCACUUCGUGUACAAACUGGACAUACUCUUUCGGAGUAUCAGGGUUUCGGACGAGAACUCAUCUGUUACACGGCCACUUCAAUGUUUUUUAAAUUUAUUUGAACUCCGGACUUCUUUUGUGUUCAGUAUACAGCAUUCGAAGCGACAUCAUCAAUUUCCAACAUGUUCUGACAUCAUUUGUUGUUUUUCGGUCAUUUACCUAAUUGUUCAAUAUGCAACAUUCAAUUUCCAGAAGAAAAUAAAUAGAAGAAAAGAAAUAAUGCAGAAAAUAAAAAAACUAUACAAAAAAAUUACUCAAAAAUAAAUAGAAGGAAAUAAAUAAUGCAGGAAAGAAAAAACUAUAUAAAAAACUACUCAAAAAUAAAUAGAAGAAGAUAAAUAAUGCAGAAAAGAAAAAAACUAUAUAAAAAAUUUGUUGGCGUGCUGCCCAGUGGGCCUACCAGACCUAGGGUGUGCAAAUGCAGGCCCAGAAGGGCCAGCAGGCUCACAGGGCAGCGCGCCCUAAUUAAUUAGGCCCUGAAGCCUGCUAUAUAGAGGAGUUCGAAGAGGUAGCCGCGGCUGGGUUUAUAAACCAGUGCGGCUGCCCUUCGCCCGGCGAGGUGGGGCUAAACUUUGGGGUGGCAGCGCGAGGCCUUUAGUACCGGUUGGUGGCUCCAACCGGUAUUAAAGACCACCCUUUAGUACCGGUUGGAACCACCAACCGGUACUAAAGGCUUGCUCUUCCCGCCUCUUGGCCUGGCCAAAGUUGGCCUUUAGUACCGGUUGGUGGCUCCAACCGAUACUAAAGGCCUCUCCUAUAUAUACAACACUUACGAAAAUUCAGUUAGAUCUCCCCACUUCUUUCGUCUCCAACCUCUCGCGCGCCGCUCGAACCCGUCCUCGUCGCCCAUCGCCCGUCGUCCGUCAUCGUCGUCGCUGUCCCCGCCGCCGCCCGUCAUCGUCGCCGUCUCGCGCCGCCGCCCCGAACGCCGCGUGCUGCCGUCCGUCGUCGUCCCGCCGCGGUCCCGUACGUCUCUCGCUCUCGCGUAUACCCGCCGCGCCGCCNNNNNNNNNNNNNNNNNNNNNNNNNNNNNNNNNNNNNNNNNNNNNNNNNNNNNNNNNNNNNNNNNNNNNNNNNNNNNNNNNNNNNNNNNNNNNNNNNNNNNNNNNNNNNNNNNNNNNNNNNNNNNNNNNNNNNNNNNNNNNNNNNNNNNNNNNNNNNNNNNNNNNNNNNNNNNNNNNNNNNNNNNNNNNNNNNNNNNNNNNNNNNNNNNNNNNNNNNNNNNNNNNNNNNNNNNNNNNNNNNNNNNNNNNNNNNNNNNNNNNNNNNNNNNNNNNNNNNNNNNNNNNNNNNNNNNNNNNNNNNNNNNNNNNNNNNNNNNNNNNNNNNNNNNNNNNNNNNNNNNNNNNNNNNNNNNNNNNNNNNNNNNNNNNNNNNNNNNNNNNNNNNNNNNNNNNNNNNNNNNNNNNNNNNNNNNNNNNNNNNNNNNNNNNNNNNNNNNNNNNNNNNNNNNNNNNNNNNNNNNNNNNNNNNNNNNNNNNNNNNNNNNNNNNNNNNNNNNNNNNNNNNNNNNGUCCGUCGUCGUCGCACCCGGCCCGUACGACGGCGCCCCCGCCCGUACGUACGCCGCCGCCCCCGCCCCAUACGCCGGCGCCCCCGCUCGUACGUACGGGGCGGCGGCGUAUGGGGCCGCACACAUACACACAUACACACACAUAUAUACGUACACACUACACACACACACAUACACACACAUUUUUUUUUUUUACUUAUUUUCUGUUUUUUAGAAAAGUUAAUUAGAUGAUCAAAAGUUUGAUUAAUGUCGAAUGUUAGAUGAAUUAGCUAGAUAGAAAAUUGUCGAACUAUAGAGAUUUGAACUAGUUGAAUAAUUAAUAUAACUAGUUUAUUUUUAGUAAGAAAAUUAUUGAACUAGUUUAUUUAGCUAUAUGAGAUUUGAACUAGUUCAAUAAUUAAUAUAACUAGUUUAUUUUUAGUAAGAAAAUUGUCGAACUAGUUUAUUUAGGUAUAUGAGAUUUGAACUAGUUCAAUAAUUAAUAUAACUAGUUUAUUUUUAGUAAGAAAAUUUAGGUAUCUGAGAUUUGAUGAUCUAAUUAAAAUAUUAUUUGUUAAUUAGUUUUUCUGUUUAUUUAAUUUUUAUAUAUUUUGAUUUUAUAUAAAUGUUAGAUUAAUGUCGAAUGUUAGAUGAAUUAGAUAGAAAAGUUAUAUAUAUAGUAAUGUCAAUUGUUAGAGAUGAAUAUAGUUAGAUAUAUUAAUGUCAAAUGUUAGAUGAAUAUAUAUUUGGCUAAAUAUUAAUUAAUGUUAGAUAGUAAUAGAUGUUUAAUGUUUCACCUAUAUGAAUAUAGGAAAUGUCAUCUGACGACGAAAAAGAUUUCAUUAUGUGCGAACACCGUGAAGACCAGCGCGGCCUGUGCGACAGAAAUUUCCUUGUUGAUGGUAGGCGCUUCAGCAUCAAGCUGGAUGAAACAUUCGAAGUUGAUACAGUAAGUCACUUUGUCAAUUAUUAUUUGAAUGCAAAACUUAUGCUUCAUUUGCUUCAACUUAUAAUUUUAAAUUUUCACUAUUCUACUAGCGCAUCCCCUGCCAUGCAAGAAUUUUUGUCUUGGAUAAGAUAGGUUUUAGUGCUAUAGAUGAUAUGGAGGUAAAGAGAGUUUACUUGAAGACGGAGCAUGGGUAUAUUUUCAACGUCAAAUUAUAUAAUGGAGACACAUACACCCAUUUUGAAUGCAAAACUUGGCAAGCACUAUGCAAGGCUUAUGCAUUUGAGCCUGGUAUGGUUGUCACCUUUGAUAUUCGUCCGGAAGAUGAUAUUGAAGGUAAUAUAGACAUCUGGGCCGAUGUGCAAACGCCUCCAGUUCUACCAUUAUGUGAGUUUUUCUCAACCAUGCAUGCAUAUGUUUAUGUCUUUGAUACAGUUUAUUCAAAAAUAGUUGACAACUAAUUUGUAUUGUUAGCUUAUUUCGGUUCAAGUAAACAUGUCCGGCGCUUGGUAGACAGGACCUACUAAUGCCCCGGGGCUCAACUAAACUGCGAGGAGAUAAGUCAUUAUGUUUCAUAGCUUGAGGAUCUUAAUACUGUCAAGACAAUUUUUUUUCUGAACUUAGAAAUGUUAGUACUCAAAACGUGCGACCAAUGGUGAUCGUAUUGAACUACGAUCACAUCUAUAAUCGAAAGAUGGUAAGAUUUUAACUAUUUGUCCUUAAUUAGUGCAUCUUUUGCAUACAUUAUUUUUGAAGCUAAACUUUCAUUGCUUAGUAUAUUAAUUAUUAUACGAUGUUCUUCAACAGGGACUUCCGAUGACAGUUGUGCCUCAGUGGAUCGAGACUAAAGGUGACAUGUCAAUGGUUAGCUUACGGCCAAGAUAUCCUACAUUGCACAUGAGUGCAUUCAGGAUUUCUGAAAGCGAAGAAUGCUUAAUAGUGAAAUAUUGGAGCAAAAUUGUUAACGGUCGCAGAGAAGUACUAGGGGGCAGCAAGGAGAAGCGCAACCCAAGAUUAGGAGACAGAUUCAUCUGCAUGCUCCAGUAUGAUGAAUCAGGAGAGCUAUACAUAUUCUAUGCUAUUCUACCUGAGAGGGAGCAGCACUAGUUCAUGCUCUUAAUUAGUGUCUCAUGUCCGUGUCCUGAACUUCGAUGUUGGUGAUGAUUAUGUUGAACUCGAUGAUAUCUUUGCUUUUGUUACAAAGUGAAUGUUUCCUUUUUAAGCUAGCCAGUGUUGGUGAUGAUUAGAUAGCUAGCGGUAAUGACUAUGAUGAUUAAAUAGUGGUAAUUAGACGACUACGAUGAUUUUUAGCUAGCUAGAGUUUAUUUAUUUAUUAAUAUGCGAUGAUGACGAUGACGACUACAACUCAUUAUAACGUAAAACAAUCCUAAAUUAAAUUGAUAACACAAAUUUAAUUGAAAAAUACAAAAUAAAAUAAAACCCACAAACAUUUAGUACUGGUUGGUGUUACCAACCGGUACUAAAGGGCUCCCGGCCCCCGGAGCUGGCUCGUGCCACGUGGUUUCCCUUUAGCACCGGUUCGUGCUGAACCGGUACUAAAGGGGGGGGGCUUUAGUGCCCACACUUUAGUGCCGGUUAUGAAACCGGCACUAAAGGGCCUUACGAACCGGUGCUAUUGCCCGGUUCUGCACUAGUGCAUGGUAUGUCCCAGGAUUAAUCCUACCAUUUAGACCAAGCCAUAAGUUCGGCUAGAAGUAACUAAACUGUGAGCCAUGCAUGUUUUAGCAUUAUAAAUAAACAGAUCUAUACAUACCACGUAAAGUGUAGCCGCCAAUGUUUUUACUUUGUUUUCUAAGGAACAAGGGAGAAAAGAUAGAAAAAACGAGAUAGAGAUGGUAAGUACAGGUCAUGACAAUCAGAAUCGAUGUUCUACUUGAAAGAAUCACAUCUGCACCUCAGGGCGACCGCACAACACUAUUUUUCUCUACAAUCACCUUUUUAACGUUCAUGAACAACAAAGUAUCACCCUACACAAAUGUUGUAAUGUUUUUCCUUGGAUGUUUGGGAUUCAGUUUCUUGAGCUAUUGCAUCCAUCCUAAGUGCACGUGCAUUACCAAUUGAAAUUUGAACUAAAUUACAAAAGCGAUCUAGGCCUACUAAUAUUGACCGUAACCAAGACAACACAGUCGACUAAUUUUAAGCAACAAACAAGACAGGGUAGAAUCAGAGUUCAACCUCUUUUUGUCCGAUCUUCCCAUGAACAUUCUUCUGUGCUGCUGAAACCGAAACAAACUACAUCAAUAUAUGAAGGAAAUCUCAAGAAAAUGAAUGGUCAAAUAAAUUUUCCUCUGUAAAGUAGUGCAAUUUAGAACAAAAAAGUGAAGAAGAAUGUAACUGUACAAUUUAGAACAUGUCCAUAUGAUGCCCAUCAAAUUAAUCUGCUGCUCUUAUCUGUGACGUACGGUAGAUCUACCACAACACAUAAAAAAGUUGAAUAAAGGUAUGCUCAUAGUCAUGGUGGGGUUGUUAAUUAGAGGACCACUAAUUUGCUCGAGAGAACAAUGCACAUAGAUGAUUGUGUAGAAUUUCAGAGGUGCAGAAUGAAACCCACUUCUCACGUGUUUGCUGCUAACACACCAUGGCUUACAAAACUAAUGCAUGAGAUUAAUAUGACAUAUAUAUGAUUGUAUGUCAGAUAUAAAACCUCCACUUGCAGCAGCGAAGUAGAUCAAGCAGUGGAGAACCCAUCCAAGCUACUGCAAAGACCUCGUCCUACCCCAUGACAGUGGUCACCUGCAAUCCAAAACGAUGAGAGGACGAACCAUGAGAGAGAGAGAGAGAGAUUAUGUACAUAACUGAAAAAAGACCAUGCUUCAAUUAUAAAUCCUGCCUGGAUGUUGGCAUUCAUCCCAUGGUUCCGACAUCAAUUAACCAGAAGGGUUGACACAAUACAACCCAUCAUUGGUGCAGCAGCAGAUACAAUCAAUUUAUAAUGUAUAAAAAAGGCUAACAAAAUACACAUAUGCAUACAUCUACCACUGUGUGGAGAAAAAAAUAUUCAUCCACCAAAAUACACAUAUGCAUAAAGAAUUUAAGCACAUAAUAACAGGAAAUUUCGCCUGAUUUAACAGGUACAGUUUUUGAAUUAGGUAAGGGAUGCACAAGUAACAUCUUAUAUUUGCACCAAUAAGAAACUAUGCCUGGAUGCACCAAGACUGCUCUCUCUAGUCAGUGUAGUUGCAAGAAAAUUCGAGCUUGCUUCCUUAAAUAAUAACCUCUUAGCUGACCACAAAAUUGGAUUUUCAACAGCCAUGCACAAUUCCCUUUAAUAACCUAAUGACACCAUGCCCAAUGAGAAGAAAACAAACAAGAUAAUUGUUAGGGAGACGGGCGACGGGCGUCCCGAACUGGACGUCGGACCGGGUCCAGUUCCCCCGUCUUCUCUCCAACCAGAGGAAAGGACCGAUGGCGGUGGCGGGCGGAGAAGUCGCGGGGCCGUGGCCGCGAGGAGGCGGCGGCUGGCGGAGAAGUCCGAGGCCACGAGCUGGGAGGAGGCGGCGGCCGGCAGACGUGCGACCAAGGCGGAUGCGGUGAAGCAGCAACGGACAACCACGGGGAAGGAGCAGUGGCUGCCAGCAGGGAAGAAGACAGCGACGGCCGGGAGUACCGACGGACGUGAGAUGGAUCGGAGGACGCACGAGUUGCGCGUGCAGAAAAAAAAACCUAAUGCUCUAAUACCAUGUUAGGAACAGCAACUUGUAUUAUUAGGAGGCCAAAGCCAACAUAUAUACACAUACAUGAGGAUGCCAAAAGGCUACAAGAGUAUGCCAAAAGACUGAAUGCAAAAGGUCAAAAGGCAUCACUAAUAUAACUCUAACAAUAAUAAUGUAAGUUACUAAACCAUAGGAUAAACACAUACAAAACCUAUUUUGCUGAGAAGGGGCCUCACCUUGCCGUUGUGCCUAUAGGUUGGCGUUGCUUGGGGAGGCAUGGAGAGGCCAGGGAUGUGGUUCUCUUGUCGCAACCACCGAUUGGAGAUGCAGCACGCCACAUGGGUUUAGCAGCAACUCACUUAUUCCUCGUAUGUUUCUUGGUGGCGGACAUGCCUCUUCUUCACUUAAGCACUAAGUAACAGGGAGAGCAUGACACCAGACACCAACGAAUCUUCAGUGCAAGAAAGAAGGAAUCCGUGAGGUUAGGUAAGCAGGGGUGAGGGUGAAGGAAAUAUGCCCUAGAGGCAAUAAUAAAGUUAUUAUUUAUUUCCUUAUAUCAUGAUAAAUGUUUAUUAUUCAUGCUAGAAUUGUAUUAACCGGAAACAUAAUACAUGUGUGAAUACAUAGACAAACAAAGAGUGUCACUAGUAUGCCUCUACUUGACUAGCUCGUUAACCAAAGAUGGUUAUGUUUCCUAACCAUGAACAAAGAGUUGUUAUUUGAUUAACGAGGUCACAUCAUUAGCUGAAUGAUCUGAUUGACAUGACCCAUUCCAUUAGCUUAGCACCCGAUCGUUUAGUAUGUUGCUAUUGCUUUCUUCAUGACUUAUACAUGUUCCUAUGACUAUGAGAUUAUGCAACUCCCGUUUACCGGAGGAACACUUUGGGUGCUACCAAACGUCACAACGUAACUGGGUGAUUAUAAAGGAGCAUUACAGGUGUCUCCAAAGGUACAUGUUGGGUUGGCGUAUUUCGAGAUUAGGAUUUGUCACUCCGAUUGUCGAAGAGGUAUCUCUGGGCCCUCUCGGUAAUGCACAUCACAUAAGCCUUGCAAGCAUUGCAACUAAUGAGUUAGUUGUGAGAUGAUGUAUGACGGAACGAGUAAAGAGACUUGCCGGUAACGAGAUUGAACUAGGUAUUGGAUACCGACGAUCGAAUCUCGGGCAAGUAACAUACCGAUGACAAAGGGAACAACGUAUGUUGUUAUGCGGUCUGAUCGAUAAAGAUCUUCGUAGAAUAUGUAGGAGCCAAUAUGGGCAUCCAGGUCCCGCUAUUGGUUAUUGACCGGAGACGUGUCUCGGUCAUGUCUACAUUGUUCUCGAACCGUAGGGUCCGCACGCUUAACGUUACGAUGACAGUUAUUAUGAGUUUAUGCAUUUUGAUGUACCGAAGGUUGUUCGGAGUCCCGGAUGUGAUCACGGACAUGACGAGGAGUCUCGAAAUGGUCGAGACAUAAAGAUUGAUAUAUUGGAAGCCUAUAUUUGGACAUCGGAAGUGUUCCGGGUGAAAUCGGGAUUUUACCGGAUUACCGGGAGGUUACCGGAACCCCCCGUGAGCCAUAUGGGCCUUCACGGGCCUUAGUGGAAAGGAGAAAGGGAAGCCCAAGGAGGGCUGCGCACCUCCCCCCCUCCCUAGUCCUAUUAGGACUAGGAAAGGUGGCCGGCCCCCCUCUCUCUCUUUCCCUCCUUGAGAAUCCUAAUUGGAAUAGGAUUGGAGGGGGGAGUCCUACUCCCGGCGGGAGUAGGACUCCUCCUGCGCCCUCUCCCUGGCCGGCGCACCCCUCCCCCUUGGCUCCUUUAUAUACGGGGGCAAGGGGCACCUCUAGACACACAAGUUGAUCCUUGGUGAUCGUUCCUUAGCCGUGUGCGGUGCCCCCUGCCACCAUAUUCCACCUCGGUCAUAUCUUUGUAGUGCUUAGGCGAAGCCCUGCGUCGGUAGAACAUCAAGAUCAUCACCACGCCGUCGUGCUGACGGAACUCUUCCUCGACGCUUUGCUGGAUCGAAGCCCGAGGAUCGUCAUCGAGCUGAACGUGUGCUAAGAACUCGGAGGUGCCGGAGUAACGGUACUUGGAUCGGUCGGAUCGGGAAGAAGACGUACGACUACUUCCUCCACGUUGUGUCAACGCUUCCGUUGCGAUCUACAAGGGUACGUAGAUCAUACUCUCCCCUCGUUGCUAUGCAUCACCAUGAUCUUGCGUGUGCGUAGGAAAUUUUUUGAAAUUACUACGUUCCCCAACAGUGGCAUCCGAGCCAGGUUUUAUGGUUUGCUGUUAUUUGCACGAGUAGAACACAAGUGAGUUGUGGGCGAUACAAGUCAUACUGCCUACCAGCAUGUCAUACUUUGGUUCGGCGGUAUUGUUGGACGAGACGACCCGGACCAACCUUACGCGUACGCUUACGCGAGACCGGUUCCCUCGAUGUGCUUUGCACAUAGAUGGCUCGCGAGCGAUUGUCUCUCCAACUUUAGUUGAACCGAGUGUGGCUACGCCCGGUCCUUGAGAAGGUUAAAACGGAGUCUAUUUGACAAACUAUCGUUGUGGUUUUGAUGCGUAGGUGAGACGAGUUCUUUCUUAAGCCCGUAGCAGCCACGUAAAACUUGCAACAACAAAGUAGAGGACGUCUAACUUGUUUUUGCAGGCCAUGUUGUGAUGUGAUAUGGUCAAGGCAUGAUGCUAAAUUUUACUGUAUGAGAUGAUCAUGUUUUGUAACCGAGUUAUCGGCAACUGGCAGGAGCCAUAUGGUUGUCGCUUUAUUGUAUGCAAUGCAAUCGCGAUGUAAUGCUUUACUUUAUUACUAAGCGGUAGUGAUAGUAGUGGAAGCAUAAGAUUGGCGAGACGACAACGAUGCUACGAUGGAGAUCAAGGUGUCGCGCCGGUGACGAUGGUGAUCAUGACGGUGCUUCGGAGAUGGAGAUCACAAGCACAAGAUGAUGAUGGCCAUAUCAUAUCACUUAUAUUUGAUUGCAUGUGAUGUUCAUCUUUUAUGCAUCUUAUCUUGCUUUGAUUGACGGUAGCAUUAUAAGAUGAUCUCUCACUAAAUUAUCCAGAAGUGUUCUCCCUGAGUAUGCACCGUUGCGAAAGUUCUUCGUGCUGAGACACCACGUGAUGAUCGGGUGUGAUAGGCUCUACGUUCAAAUACAACGGGUGCAAAACAGUUGCACACGCGGAAUACUCAGGUUAUACUUGAUGAGCCAAGCAUAUACAGAUAUGGCCUCGGAACACGGAGACCGAAAGGUCGAGCGUGAAUCAUAUAGCAGAUAUGAUCAACAUAAUGAUGUUCAUCGAUGAAACUACUCCAUCUCACGUGAUGAUCGGACAUGGUUUAGUUGAUUUGGAUCAUGUAAUCACUUAGAGGAUUAGAGGGAUGUCUAUCUAAGUGGGAGUUCUUAAGUAAUAUGAUUAAUUGAACUUAAAUUUAUCAUGAACUUAGUACCUGAUAGUAUCUUGCUUGUUUAUGUUGAUUGUAGAUAGAUGGCUCGUGUUGUUGUUCCGUUGAAUUUUAAUGCGUUCCUUGAGAAAGCAAAGUUGAAAGAUGAUGGUAGCAAUUACACGGACUGGGUCCGUAACUUGAGGAUUAUCCUCAUUGUUGCACAGAAAAAUUACGUCUUGGAAGCACCGCUGGGUGCCAGGCCUGCUGCUGGAGCAACACCAGAUGUUAUGAACGUCUGACAGAGCAAAGCUGAUGACUACUCGAUAGUUCAGUGUGCCAUGCUUUACGGCUUAGAAUCGGGACUUCAACGACGUUUUGAACGUCAUGGAGCAUAUGAGAUGUUCCAGGAGUUGAAGUUAAUAUUUCAAGCAAAUGCCUGGAUUGAGAGAUAUGAAGUCUCCAAUAAGUUCUAUAGCUGCAAGAUGGAGGAGAACAGUUCUGUCAGUGAGCAUAUACUCAAGAUGUCUGGGUAUAAUAAUCACUUGAUUCAAUUGGGAGUUAAUCUUCCAGAUGAUUGCGUCAUUGACAGAAUUCUUCAAUCACUGCCACCAAGCUACAAGAGCUUCGUGAUGAACUAUAAUAUGCAAGGGAUGAACAAGACUAUUCCCGAGCUCUUCGCAAUGCUGAAAGUUGCGGAGGUAGAAAUCAAGAAGGAGCAUCAAGUGUUGAUGGUCAACAAGACCACUAGUUUCAAGAAAAAGGGCAAAGGGAAGAAGAAGGGGAACUUCAAGAAGAACAGCAAGCAAGUUGCUGCUCAGGAGAAGAAACCCAAGUCUGGACCUAAGCCUAAAACUGAGUGCUUCUACUGCAAGCAGACUGGUCACUGGAAGCGGAACUGCCCCAAGUAUUUGGCGGAUAAGAAGGAUGGCAAGGUGAACAAAGGUAUAUGUGAUAUACAUGUUAUUGAUGUGUACCUUACUAAUGCUCGCAAUAGCACCUGGGUAUUUGAUACUAGUUCUGUUGCUAAUAUUUGCAACUCGAAACAGGGGCUACGGAUUAAGCGAAGAUUGGCUAAGGACGAGGUGACGAUGCGCGUGGGAAACGGUUCCAAAGUCGAUGUGAUCGCGGUCGGCACGCUACCUCUACAUCUACCUUCGGGAUUAAUAUUAGACCUAAAUAAUUGUUAUUUGGUGCCAGCGUUGAGCAUGAACAUUAUAUCUGGAUCUUGUUUAAUGCGAGACGGUUAUUCAUUUAAAUCAGAGAAUAAUGGUUGUUCUAUUUAUAUGAGUAAUAUCUUUUAUGGUCACGCACCUUUGAAGAGUGGUCUAUUUUUAUUGAAUCUCGAUAGUAGUGAUACACAUAUUCAUAAUGUUGAAACCAAAAGAUGCAGAGUUGAUAAUGAAAGUGCAACUUAUUUGUGGCACUGCCGUUUAGGUCAUAUCGGUGUAAAACGCAUGAAGAAACUCCAUACUGAUGGACUUUUGGAACCACUUGAUUAUGAAUCACUUGGUACUUGCGAACCGUGCCUCAUGGGCAAGAUGACUAAAACACCAUUCUCCGGUACUAUGGAGAGAGCAACAGAUUUGUUGGAAAUCAUACAUACAGAUGUGUGUGGUCCGAUGAAUAUUGAGGCUCAUGGCGGAUAUCGUUAUUUUCUCACCUUCACAGAUGAUUUAAGCAGAUAUGGGUAUAUCUACUUAAUAAAACAUAAGUCUGAAACAUUUGAAAAGUUCAAAGAAUUUCAGAGUGAAGUGGAAAAUCAUCGUAACAAGAAAAUAAAAUUUCUACGAUCUGAUCGUGGAGGAGAAUAUUUGAGUUACGAGUUUGGUGUACAUUUGAAAAAUUGUGGAAUAGUUUCGCAACUCACGCCACCCGGAACACCACAACGUAAUGGUGUGUCCGAACGUCGUAAUCGUACUUUACUAGAUAUGGUGCGAUCUAUGAUGUCUCUUACUGAUUUACCGCUAUCGUUUUGGGGAUACGCUCUAGAGACGGCCGCAUUCACGUUAAAUAGGGCACCAUCAAAAUCCGUUGAGACGACGCCUUAUGAACUGUGGUUUGGCAAGAAACCAAAGUUGUCGUUUCUGAAAGUUUGGGGCUGCGAUGCUUAUGUGAAAAAGCUUCAACCUGAUAAGCUCGAACCCAAAUCGGAGAAAUGUGUCUUCAUAGGAUAUCCAAAGGAAACUAUUGGAUACACCUUCUAUCACAGAUCCGAAGGCAAGACUUUUGUUGCUAAGUUCGGAAACUUUCUGGAGAAGGAGUUUCUCUCGAAAGAAGUGAGUGGGAGGAAAGUAGAACUUGACGAGGUAACUGUACCUGCUCCCUUAUUAGAAAAUAGUACAUCACAGAAAACUGUUUCUGCGACACCUACACCAAUAAGUGAGGAAGCUAAUGAUGAUGAUCAUGAAACUUUAGAUCAAGAUACUACUGAACCUCGUAGAUCAACCAGGGUGAGAUCCGCACCAGAGUGGUACGGUAAUCCUGUUCUGGAGGUCAUGCUACUAGAUCAUGAUGAACCUACGAACUAUGAAGAAGCGAUGGUGAGCCCAGAUUCCGCAAAGUGGCUUGAAGCCAUGAAAUCUGAGAUGGGAUCCAUGUAUGAGAACAAAGUAUGGACUUUGGUUGACUUGCCCGAUGAUCGGCAAGCAAUUGAGAAUAAAUGGAUCUUCAAGAAGAAGACUGACGCUGAUGGUAAUGUUACUGUCUACAAAGCUCGACUUGUCGCAAAAGGUUUUCGACAAGUUCAAGGGAUUGACUACGAUGAGACUUUCUCACCCGUAGCGAUGCUUAAGUCUGUCCGAAUCAUGUUAGCAAUUGCCGCAUUUUAUGAUUAUGAAAUUUGGCAAAUGGAUGUCAAAACUGCAUUCCUGAAUGAAUUUCUGGAAGAAGAGUUGUAUAUGAUGCAACCAGAAGGUUUUGUCGAUCCAAAGGGAGCUAACAAAGUGUGCAAGCUCCAGCGAUCCAUUUAUGGACUGGUGCAAGCCUCUCGGAGUUGGAAUAAACGUUUUGAUAGUGUGAUCAAAGCAUUUGGUUUUAUACAGACUUUCGGAGAAGCCUGUAUUUACAAGAAAGUGAGUGGGAGCUCUGUAGCAUUUCUGAUAUUAUAUGUGGAUGACAUAUUGCUGAUUGGAAAUGAUAUAGAAUUUCUGGAUAGCAUAAAGGGAUACUUGAAUAAAAGUUUUUCAAUGAAAGACCUCGGUGAAGCUGCUUACAUAUUAGGCAUAAAGAUCUAUAGAGAUAGAUCUAGACGCUUAAUUGGACUUUCACAAAGCACAUACCUUGACAAGAUUUUGAAGAAGUUCAAAAUAGAUCAAGCAAAGAAAGGGUUCUUGCCUGUGUUACAAGGUGUGAGAUUGAGUAAGACUCAAAGCCCGACCACUGCAGAAGAUAGAGAGAAAAUGAAAGAUGUUCCCUAUGCUUCAGCCAUAGGCUCUAUCAUGUAUGCAAUGUUGUGUACCAGACCUGAUGUGUGCCUUGCUAUAAGUUUAGCAGGGAGGUACCAAAGUAAUCCAGGAGUGGAUCACUGGACAGCGGUCAAGAACAUCCUGAAAUACCUGAAAAGGACUAAGGAUAUGUUUCUCGUAUAUGGAGGUGACAAAGAGCUCACCGUAAGAGGUUACGUUGAUGCAAGCUUUGACACUGAUCCGGACGAUUCUAAAUCGCAAACCGAAUACGUGUUUAUAUUAAACGGUGGAGCUGUCAGUUGAUGCAGUUCUAAACAAAGCGUCGUAGCGGGAUCUACAUGUGAAGCGGAGUACAUAGCUGCUUCGGAAGCAGCGAAAGAAGGAGUCUGGAUGAAGGAGUUCAUAUCCGAUCUAGGUGUCAUACCUAGUGCAUCGGGUCUAAUGAAAAUCUUUUGUGACAAUACUGGUGCAAUUGCCUUAGCAAAGGAAUCCAGAUUUCACAAAAGGACCAAACACAUCAAGAGACGCUUCAAUUCCAUCCGGGAUCUAGUCCAGGUGGGAGACAUAGAGAUUUGCAAGAUACAUACGGAUCUGAAUAUUGCAGACCCGUUGACUAAGCCUCUUCCACGAGCAAAACAUGAUCAGCACCAAGGCUCCAUGGGUGUUAGAAUCAUUACUGUGUAAUCUAGAUUAUUGACUCUAGUGCAAGUGGGAGACUGAAGGAAAUAUGCCCUAGAGGCAAUAAUAAAGUUAUUAUUUAUUUCCUUAUAUCAUGAUAAAUGUUUAUUAUUCAUGCUAGAAUUGUAUUAACCGGAAACAUAAUACAUGUGUGAAUACAUAGACAAACAAAGAGUGUCACUAGUAUGCCUCUACUUGACUAGCUCGUUAACCAAAGAUGGUUAUGUUUCCUAACCAUGAACAAAGAGUUGUUAUUUGAUUAACGAGGUCACAUCAUUAGCUGAAUGAUCUGAUUGACAUGACCCAUUCCAUUAGCUUAGCACCCGAUCGUUUAGUAUGUUGCUAUUGCUUUCUUCCUGACUUAUACAUGUUCCUAUGACUAUGAGAUUAUGCAACUCCCGUUUACCGGAGGAACACUUUGGGUGCUACCAAACGUCACAACGUAACUGGGUGAUUAUAAAGGAGCAUUACAGGUGUCUCCAAAGGUACAUGUUGGGUUGGCGUAUUUCGAGAUUAGGAUUUGUCACUCCGAUUGUCGGAGAGGUAUCUCUGGGCCCUCUCGGUAAUGCACAUCACAUAAGCCUUGCAAGCAUUGCAACUAAUGAGUUAGUUGUGAGAUGAUGUAUUACGGAACGAGUAAAGAGACUUGCCGGUAACGAGAUUGAACUAGGUAUUGGAUACCGACGAUCGAAUCUCGGGCAAGUAACAUACCGAUGACAAAGGGAACAACGUAUGUUGUUAUGCGGUCUGACCGAUAAAGAUCUUCGUAGAAUAUGUAGGAGCCAAUAUGGGCAUCCAGGUCCCGCUAUUGGUUAUUGACCGGAGACGUGUCUCGGUCAUGUCUACAUUGUUCUCGAACCGUAGGGUCCGCACGCUUAACGUUACGAUGACAGUUAUUAUGAGUUUAUGCAUUUUGAUGUACCGAAGGUUGUUCGGAGUCCCGGAUGUGAUCACGGACAUGACGAGGAGUCUCGAAAUGGUCGAGACAUAAAGAUUGAUAUAUUGGAAGCCUAUAUUUGGACAUCGGAAGUGUUCCGGGUGAAAUCGGGAUUUUACCGGAUUACCGGGAGGUUACCGGAACCCCCCGGGAGCCAUAUGGGCCUUCAUGGGCCUUAGUGGAAAGGAGAAAGGGAAGCCCAAGGAGGGAUGCGCACCUCCCCCCCUCCCUAGUCCUAUUAGGACUAGGAAAGGUGGCCGGCCCCCCUCUCUCUCUUUCCCUCCUUGAGAAUCCUAAUUGGAAUAGGAUUGGAGGGGGGAGUCCUACUCCCGGCGGGAGUAGGACUCCUCCUGCGCCCUCUCCCUGGCCGGCGCACCCCUCCCCCUUGGCUACUUUAUAUACGGGGGCAGGGGGCACCUCUAGACACACAAGUUGAUCCUUGGUGAUCGUUCCUUAGCCGUGUGCGGUGCCCCCUGCCACCAUAUUCCACCUCGGUCAUAUCGUUGUAGUGCUUAGGCGAAGCCCUGCGUCGGUAGAACAUCAAGAUCGUCACCACGCCGUCGUGCUAACGGAACUCUUCCUCGACGCUUUGCUGGAUCGAAGCCCGAGGAUCGUCAUCGAGCUGAACGUGUGCUAAGAACUCGGAGGUGCCGGAGUAACGGUACUUGGAUCGGUCGGAUCGGGAAGAAGACGUACGACUACUUCCUCCACGUUGUGUCAACGCUUCCGUUGCGAUCUACAAGGGUACGUAGAUCAUACUCUCCCCUCGUUGCUAUGCAUCACCAUGAUCUUGCGUGUGCGUAGGAAAUUUUUUGAAAUUACUACGUUCCCCAACAGAGGGCUAGGCAUACAAACCUGUGUUGUGGCAGCGACAAGGAUGGCGAGGAAACGAUAGCAGUGGCGGCGUCCGGUCGCCGGCAACCAUGCAGAUCCCCACCGACGCCUCUAUGCGGAUCAGCGACGCGAGCGGCGACCUUCACAUGUCGACGGGAGAGCAGCUACGGCCGUGUCUUCCUUAGUCCUCACAGGUAGUGCGGCGACAAGAGAGGCGGCUAUGGAUGAAGAGAGGCGCAGCAGCUUCGUGCCCUCCUAGAGAGGAGAAGAGGCCGGGCAGAUGGGCGACGGGCGGGGAGGAGAGGAGGCGGAGCACGAGGGCGGAGGAAUGACGGUGGCAGCGGCUAGGUUUCACUGCGAGGAGACCAGUAGCCAUGGAAGCACCUCUGCCUCCUCCCCUCUUUGCCGCUCGCUCCUCCUUUCCUCUCGUCUGGUGGCGCCCAUGAAUCGUCACGUGCGAGAUGCUCGAGUUCGUCCAUGGUCACCGCCGUGCUCAGAGCUCGGCCAUGACCGCCGCCGCGCUCACCAACACGCCCACAUGCUCCGGCUCAAGCUCGGCCAUGGCCGCCACCGCGCCCGGAUCUGGAUCCGGAGCGCCCUUCGACCCCUCACCGCGCGCUGCUCGCCGCCGAGCCUCACGGGAGUGGUCGCCGCCCCGCCGUCUUCGGAUCCGGCCGCCGCUGCCAUCUCUAUUCUUGCCCCAGCCCGACUGGUGGAAAGGUGAUUUGGGCGACGGGAGGGGAGGGGAGGAGGCAGAGCACAGGGGAUGAAGGGUGGCGGUGGCGGCGACGGCGAGUGCGGGGACAAUGGGGGCGAAUGGGAGGACGAAGAGUCGAGGCAGACACCCUCCCUCGUCUCAUCCAACCACGGGCCAAUCGGGGAUCAACACGUCACAGGGCAACGAGUGAAAUGACGAAAAUACCCUCGGCGGGGCACAGGAAUAACGGCGGUGGCAUGAGAUAUUUUCGGCGGAGAGCUGAAUUGUUCAUUGCUACAGCCUCUCUGGUCCGAUCUAGCGGUUGCGAUCAAUCGGGAGCGAGAUCCAAUGGCCGAAAACGCAUUAAGGGGUUCGAUCCGACGGCCGAAAUGCUCUAAACUCUGUGAGCGUUCGAAGGCUGCUUUGGUUCUUGUUUCUGGAUGUAAAUGUAGGAACGCACGAACCACAAUCGCCUACGACUGCUGUAGGUAAAUCAAAUGUCAAGGGCGAAGCUAGCCACACCAAUGACCUAUUGAAAACAAACAACACAACUUGCAUUGUUCAAACAAACAACACAACACACAUUGUUCAAACAAAUGACGGAAACAAAUACGUCAUAAAAUUAAACGCCACCGAGAGCAAACAUCAGAAGUUAAACGGCACAAACAGCCUGGACGUCGUACAACACACAUCAGUAAUUAAACUGGAAAUCCCCUAAAAAAGUAAUUAAACUGGAAAGCAGUAAUUAAACUGGAAAGGGUACAAAGACAGCGAAAAUCGACUAUGCUGCGCAUCAGCUUCAACUUGUUAUAAGCAGAAAUAGACAUCAUACAACACAACUAGGCAACAGAGAUCAUAACACGACUAAUUAAGAUGCAUCUAAUAGCACAACUAAGUAACACUAGCCAUGAGCCAAGACGACAUGUAUCGUCGUCUAUGUCGGAACGUCAAUAUUUAGGACGCAUCGACCGCUAUUCUAAUAAAGUUUAGAGACGGCCUAGGAUGCGUUCCGCUUCUUCGCCUUCCUCGUCGCUGUCGUGGUGGAUGACGUCGUACUGGUCGUCGGGGAGGUUGGCCCUUGGGUCGUCGUCGUGGAAGACGUCGACCUGGACGUAGGCGUUCCCGUCGCGCUUGAAGUCGGCGAGGACCCUCUCAUGGUGGGCUCGCUCGGCCUUGAUGGCGACCAUGGAGCGGAGAGUCUCGGGGAGGUUGGGCAGGGGAGGGCGAGGCUUCUUGUCCCACUCGAGCAGCCACUUGAUGUAGCUGUUCCGAUGGUCCAUCUUCACCAUCCUCUUCUCCUUGAUCCGAUACCCCUCAUACGGGUUGAGCCUCAACCUCUCGGGGGAUGCAGCACCACCAGCAGGCGCCGCCUCCUUCUCCAU